CUUCUUCUUCUUCAUCUAUUGAGUCCCUUUCUCUCCAAAACAACAAUCUCACCUCAUCCAUGUAUCGUUGGUUGCGCCCGUUAACCAGCAAUAAGCUUCUUGGUCUUGAUGUCUCUGGCAACAUGUUAGAUGGGAUACCCAAAUAUCUUGGUAACCUCUGUAGUCUGGAAGAUUUGUCCAUCUAUAACAACUCUGCUGCUGUCAAAUUUCCUGAUUUUCUCAACAACUUGUCUGGAUGCACAUCCCUUUCAUUACAAUCCUUGUAUGCUUCUCAUAGCCAAUUUACAGGGUCACUGUCCGAUGAGAUCCAAAAGUUUUUAUCCCUAGAAUCUCUAUACCUAUCUGAUAAUCACCUAAAUGGAAGUAUAAGUGAGAAAUUUUGGGAACUACCAAGGCUUGAAACUCUUGACGUUUCUUUUAAUAAUCUUACAGUUCCUUCCACAGAUCACAUGUCAAGCCUUUCUUAUGUAAAGGAAAUUGGUCUAAGCUCUUCUCAGCUAGGGCCUUGCUUCCCCAAAUGGAUUCAUACACUAAAAAGUCUUACCCUUCUUGACAUUUCCAAUACUGGAAUUUCAGACACAACUCCUCCGGAUUUUUGGGACAUGUGGCCUUCUCAAUUAGAAUAUCUGAAUCUCUCCUCCAACAACAUUAGCGGGAGUGUACCAGAUUUAUCAUCAAAUUUUGCCAGCGGUUCAGUGAUCGAUUUGAGUUCCAACAGAUUUUAUGGUCCAAUACCGAAAGUCUCUUCGGGUUUGACAUCAUUAGAUCUUUCCAGAAACAAAUUCUCUGGAGGGGUCUCCUUUAUAUGCCAAAUUGUUGAUGGGCUCUUAUACUUUCUUGACCUUUCUCAUAACUCAUUCAUCGGACAACUACCGGACUGUUUGUGGCAUUUCAAACAACUAAAAGUUCUAAAUCUCGGACACAACAAUCUCUUUGGAAGUCUUCCUCCCUCUAUUGGAUCUUUGAUACAACUCAAGGUGCUGUAUUUAUACAAGAACAACUUCUUUGGAGAAUUGCCUUUGUCUUUAAAAAAUUGCACGAGUUUAAUCUCGAUGAAUUUGGGGGCCAACAAGUUUUCUGGUAAUGUGCCUGUCUGGAUUGGGGAAAACUUAUCAAAGUUGUAUGUUCUUAUCCUAAGAUCAAACAAAUUCUUUGGAACCAUCCCACAAAAGUUAUGUCGGUUAGCUAAUCUUCAAAUUCUAGAUCUGUCAAUGAACAAUCUCAAUGGAACCAUCCCCUCAUGUUUGAGUAAUCUUACAAGCAUGCUUCAACAAGGAGGAUUCUCACAAGAUGUGCAGCUUAAUACAACUUACAGAGCUUAUGAAUAUAAACAGGAGACAUACGUUGACCAUGCGAUGAUUGAGUGGCAAGGAGAUGAACGCGAAUUCGUUAGCAUUCUGAAAUUGUUAAAGAUCAUUGACCUGUCAAGCAACAAGUUAACAGGACAAAUCCCACAUGUAGUUACCAAUCUUUCUGACUUAGUUGCCUUGAACUUGUCAAGGAACGCUCUAUCUGGAGAGAUUCCACAGAAAAUUGGUGAGAUGAAAAAGCUUUUGACUUUGGAUUUAUCCAGAAAUAAUUUCUCAGGGGGGAUACCAUCAAGCAUGUCUCAGAUGAGUUUACUGAAUGACCUAGACUUGUCAUACAAUAACUUGUCAGGGAGAAUCCCAUCAAGCACUCAACUCCAGUCCUUUCCACCUUCAAGAUAUGUUGGAAACAGAGGACUAUGUGGACCUCCUCUUAACAAAAAGUGUCCUGGAGAUGAAGAAUCAGAAUCACCACCAAUCAUUGGUAAAAGUGAGGGUGAUGGGGAAGAAUGGGGAUGGUUUUAUAUUGGUGGGGGCAUGGGUUUUGCCACUGGAUUUUGGAUAGCAUGUGGGGCUUUACUUGUCAACCGUCGAGGGAGGCGUGCAUUUUUUCACUUUUUUGAUAGUUUCAAAGAUUGGGUUUAUGUGAAGGUGGUUGUGUUCGUUUCAAGUUUGCAAAAAGGUAGACAGAUGUAGUUUGUUAUCUAAUUCUUAUUUUUGACUUCUUAUUUUCCAGUAUACAAUGUAAUAUGGUAGUGGUUUUUAAUCCCCCAAUAUCAAUAAAUUAAGGCCACUUUUGGCGCAUUUCUGCGACUCGGUAUGUGGUAAUUAAGUGCACUUUAUUUAUGUUUAUAAAAAACGGGCUUUUAAUUAGAUGGGUGGCCAUUAGGUUUAACUAAUAAAAAACUCUUACAAACCAAGAGUCACACGACACGACAUGAUUCAUUGGCAAUAAAAAAAAAUAGAUAACAUAGUAAUGUAAGUAUGUAACACUCUAAUGAAUCGUUCUCUGCAUGCAUGUAAAUUGUAUAGAAAUUGUGUCUGUAAUUUGUAAUCUGUUUGACUGAUUGACUGACUGUAUAUGCUACAUUAUGAUUGUAAUGUGUAAAUCUGUAUGUAAGAUGCAUGCUAGUACAUUGUUAAUUUGCUACUUAAUACUUAUGCUGUUAAUGUUAUAAAUGAAAUAAUGAAUUAUGAAUCAGGUCUGUUACUCUGUAUACUCUCUCUAUAUUUCUCUCUUUCUUAAUUGUUAUGUGAUCAACUAAUCAUUGUUUUAUACUUAUGUUGUAUUGCUGUAUUGCUGAUUUGCUGUUAAUUAAGUGUUUACCUGUAAAGUCAAAAGUGUAAACUGUUAUGAACUUAUAAUUAUGAUGUAAUGCUGUUAACUGUUUGACUGUUUCAGUGUUUUGUCAGUUGUCACUGUUAUGUACUUAUGUUAUAGCGUUAUUUUAUACAAGAUUACAAAUUAAUAUGUUUUGAUAUUUUGAUGUUUUCUGAAUUCUAAUUUCUAUUUUGUUAUACAUAAUGGUUUCAACUUCAGAUGACCAAGGUAGGAGAUAUGGUGCACAAGAUCCGAGUAAUAAAAACAAUGUGUGCUCUUUUUGUGGAUAAGUUCUGAAAGGAGGAGUAUAUCGCCUCAAACAACACUUAAUUGACGGGCAUAAAGACGCAAAGAAAUGUCCAAAUUGUCCGGAGCAUGUACGAGAAGAAUGUAGGACAUUCAUGCAAAACAAGCAAUCAAUAAAGGCACAACAACAUAUGGAAGCAAGUUUUCAGAUGCAACAACUGUUGGAAAUAUUACAGCCUUAUACAGCUGUUGACUGCUAUAUUUAUAAGUUGCAUAAUGGCCAAAAUUAUCUCUGUGAUUGUCAUUGUAUUAGAUGUAUUUUUAGCUCUUAAUUCUGUAAUUAGAGUAGAUUAUCUCUUUCCUUGUUUAGGCUAUUUCUUUCAUGUAUAUAAAUUGUUGUGAUGUGAAUAAGAAAAAUACAAUCGAAAAAAACUUUUCACCCUUUGUUUCAUGGUAUCAGAGGAGGUUCAUCCUAGACAUGAUCAGAAAAUCUCUCUUUUAAUUUACUUUCCUGAGAUUUUUUUCUUUCUAACCCUAAAAUCAGAUCUAUGGCCGGAGGAAACCAAUCCAAUGUCACUAACAGAUUUUGCUUUAUCCACAACAAAACCCUCUCUCCUUUCUACUCCUGACCUUGGGCAUACUCUGCAAAUCACCCAACACACACUAAACAGUCAAAGAAUGGUAUCAAUCUGUUUUGUUAGUCAUCCCAGGGGAAGUAGGCUAUGUUACCGGUGAAACUUGUCAACCGAAACAGGAUGAUGCAAGUUAUCAACAAUGGGAAGCAAAAACCCCCCAUUAUCAUGGCAUUACUUAUCAACUCCAUGGAGACAUGAAUUGGCAGGACAUUUUUAUUCUACAACAACGCCCAUGAAAUCUGGAAAUGUGUCCAAGCGAUGUAUUCAUAUCUUGAAAACACAUCUCAGUGUUUUGAGAUUCGCUCGACUCUAAGAUCCACCCGCCAAGGAACAAUGACAGUUACUUAUUAGUCGUGUAUAUUCUAUUUAUUAUAUAUGUAUAGAGUGUAGGUACCUAAGUGUAAAAUAUUGUGUUUAGGUCAAUCUCAUGGCCACUAUUUAUAUCUCACGGCUGGAUCAAUAAAGAACAGGGAAAAUAUUUUGCGUUAUAUUGUGUGUUAUAUUAUGGUAUCAGAGCUCUCUUUCUGAAAACCUAACCCUACUAGCCGUCGUUCCUUCACAAUCUCUUAUCUCCUUUUUUUUUUUUUUCUGACUACUCUCGAGAUGGAAAGAGCUCAGUACACUUCAUGGGCUGAGUUGUUUAGAAUCCAUUGUCGUGCAUUCCAGGUCAUUGAUCAUAUUGAACCCAAAGCUACAAUCAUCUCCUCCUCCACCACUAAUAAAGUCGGGGUUGAUAAACCAGCAGAUCCCAAACCAAUGGAUCCUGAUCUAUGGAAUCGAUUAGAUGCCAUUGUCAUCCAAUGGAUCUACAGUACUAUCUCGAAUGAUCUCCUCCAAACCAUUCUAAAACCGAAAGCUAGUGCAGCGCAGGCAUGGGCAGCCCUCGAGAGUGUUUUUCAAGACAACCAGAAUGAGCGUGCUCUCUACUUGGAACACAAACUAGUCACCAUUAAGCUUGUAAAUUUCUCAAAUUGCUUUGCUUACUAUCAGACGUUGAAGAUGAUCUCUGAUCAACUUUCUAAUGUUGGCGCCCCUAUCACUAAUCAACGACUCAUCUUACAGCUCAUUGUUGGUCUUACGGAUGCAUACGAAGGGAUCGCCAUGAUGAUCCAGCAAAUCAAGCCUCUUCCGGAUUUCUAUGAAGCACGCUCUCGUCUCAUCUUGGAAGAAACAAGUAAAGCCAAUCAUGCAACCCAGUCUGCUGUUGCAGAUGCAUUUGCCCUCAAUGUUUAGACUCAACACACUUGUCUCCCCUUACCCUACAAACGACUACAACAACGUCACUAGGGGACGUGGACGUAGACGAGGCACUAGAGGUCGUGAUCGUGGCAGAUGAGGUGGUAACUACACAGGUGGCAACCGUGGACAGCACCAACAAUUUCACCAAUAGACUCAUACUCCCUUCUGGCAGAAUCAACCUCAGUGGGCUCCUCAACCAUCCUGGAAUGCAUUGCCUCCCUCAUGGUUUCCUGCUCAACACACACCACCUUGUCCCUAUCCUACCACUCCGCCACGCUCAUCACAACCAUAACCCCCCAAUGCUCUAGGUUUACUUGACCCUUGACCACCACAACCACAAACUCAUAAUACCUCAGUUAAAUCCUACACUCCUACUGAUUUGGAACAAGCUUUUCACACAAUGAGUCUCAUCUCUCCAGACCCGAAUUGGUACCUUGACACUGGCGCAACAUCUCACAUGACAAACAAUUGAGGUACUCUCUCCUCAUAUAAUAAGAGUAAUUUCCGGAAUAUCAUUGUAGGUAAUGGCACACAACUUCCAAUCGAAGGCACCGAUAAUCAUAUUAUUACUCCACCCUAUCCCCCUUAAUCAAGUCCUUUAUGUUCCUAAUCUGAUUAAAAACUUACUUUCUGUCCGUCGUCUCACAACUUAUAAUAAUGUUUCAAUCAAAUUUGACCCAAAUGGUUUUCUUGUAAAGGACUUGCAGACCCGGAUGCCUCUUCUCAGCUGCAAUAGCUCCGGAGAUCUUUAUCCACUUACACUUAAGUCAACCCCUCCACUCAAGUCUCCUUCCACUUUUGCUGCAAUAAACCGAGAUCUCUGGCAUUUUCGUUUGGAACACCUGGGCGUUAAUGUGUUUCAUUGUUUGAAUAAUUCCUUGUUAUUUCCUUUUUGUCAUAAAAACUCUAUUUUUUUUAUUCGUGUGUUAUGGGCAAAAAUAUUAAAUUACCUUUCCAUUUAUCUCCUACUGUUACUGUUUCUCCCUUUGACAUUAUACAUAGUGAUGUUUGGACCUCACCGGUUUUGUAACAUCCCAAAUUUCGAGGCCAAAAAUUUUGUUUUUAAUUAAGUAACUCAUAAAACAGUUUACCAAAACAUUGUCAAUAUUACAUCAACUUAUAAAAACCAUAAUGUCGUGUCUCAAAACCAUAUCAUCAGAAGUAAUGAAAAUCAGAGUACAAUCCCAGAAACUCAAUGCGGAAACCAUGUGUGUAUGUGUGUGAUGCGCUGCUACACCGUCGGAACCUUCCCCUUAGACGAAGAGGUACCUGAAACCAAAACUAAAAACCGUAAGCACGAAGCUUAGUGAGUUCCCCCAUCAUACCCAUACCAAAUAAUACAUAAUCCUCAGUAUCUUUCAACCGGUAACUGUCAGGCAUAAUCGGGAGCUGGACUCCCCCUCAGUAUCUUUCAACCGGUAACUGGGAACUACCCUUCUAUUCGGUAUCUUUCAACCGGUAACUGGGAACUACCCUCUCAUUCGGUAUCUUUCAACCGGUAACUGGGAACUACCCUCUCAUUCGGUAUCUUUCAACCGGUAACUGGGAACUAACCUCCCCUUCGAUAUCUUUCAACCGAUAACCGGGGACUAUUUCACCCCUACUACUGCUAACACAUAAUAAGCAUAGUAAGCAUAUCAAUCAUAAUCAUAUUAAUCACAGUAAGCAUAUCACAUAUCAAAUCCCAGAUAAUUAUCACAAAGACAAUCAUCUAACCAAUACUCUUACUUGUGGGUCGGCAUUGUGACCGUAGACCCACCCCUACUAGGAGGAGACUCACCUCAAAUUCGUAAGAUCAAACUGUUUCUCUAAGUAUACAUGGAUUUUUUUAUCCUAAGAUCAAGCUGUUGGGUUUUAAGCACUAUAACACUCCUAUAGUGCACAUGCAACCCUAAAUGAUUUGGAUCUAUGUUUUCUCUAAUUAUACAUGCAUUUUCUUUUUCCAAAGCAUUCACCCUAGCUAGCACACAAUUGAAGCUAUAUAAUAUAAAACUUAAUUUGGAUGCUUACCUCUUGAGUAAGGUAGAGUUCUUGACCUUUGGAAGCUUGAGUACCUCAAGUGUGAUGCCUCUAAUGGUUCACAAACACCAAGUGCAAGAGGAGGCUUUAGAGAAUAGGUUAGUUGGCACAAAAUCAACUUCACUCUCUUAGAAUGUAUGGCAUGACCCAUUUUGGCUCUAGGGAGGGGUUUAUAUAGUGUGACAAACAUUAGGGUUACAUCCAUGAAAACCCUAAUGCUCCAUGACUUUUCACAUUCUCAUGCUCCAUUGUUUAAACCUCCAUGGACUAUCCAUGGUUCAUCUCAUUGGUUUAGCCCAUUCUAAAUAACUAUGGAUCAUUGGCCCACACUAUAAGAAUCAUUGAUUUGCAAUCAAGCCCCAUAUAUUUAAUUAGUCUCAUUUGAUCACAAAAUUAAUUUCAAAUUAAUUCUUGAUCAAUACUAAUUAAAUAAUAUGUUUUCUCAAUUAAUAUAUUAUACUUACAAUAUAUUAAUAAAUCACAAAUAACCUUAUUCUUAAAAGUUCACCCUAUCAAAUUGCAUUGAUGAAGGCAACCCAAAAGGACCAUGCUACUAUUGGGUCAAGUACAUCCCAGUUAUAGUUAUGGUCUUAGACACUAAAUCCAACACAAACAACUUCUUUGGAACCAUCCCUUUACAGUUAUGUCAGUUAUCUAAUCUUCAAACUCUAGACCUGUCAAUGAACAAUCUCCAUGGAAGCAUCCCCUCAUGUUUGAGUAAUCUUACCAGCAUGGUUCAACAAGGAGGAUUCUCACAAGAUGUGCAGUUUAUUACAACUUACAAAGCUUAUGAAUUUAAACAGGAGACAUACGUUGACCAUGCGAUGAUUGAGUGGUAAGGAGAUGAAUGUGAAUUCGUUAGCAUUCUGAAAUUGAUGAAGAUCAUUGACCUUUCAAGCAACAAGUUAACAUGACAAAUCCCAUAUGGAAUUACCAAUCUUUCUGACUUAGUUGCCUUGAACUUGUCAAGGAACGCACUAUCUGGAGAGAUUCCCCAGAAAAUUGGUGAGAUGAAAAAGCUUUUGACUUUGGAUUUAUCCACAAAUAAUUUCUCUGGGCAGAUACCAUCAAGCAUGUCUCAGAUGAGUUUACUUAAUGAACUAGACUUGUCAUACAAUAACUUGUCAUGGAGAAUCCCAUCAGCACUCAACUCCAAUCCUUUCUGUGACAUCCCCAAAAUCACGGCCAGAAAAGACCGGUUUCAUUUAUGCUUUUAAAAUAUUUUCAAAGUAAAUCCAUUGAUUUAAAAGAGUUGCAGAAUUUGUUCCCAAAACAAAACAUGAUAAAAUAAAGCUUAUCAAACCAUUUCAUCAAGAGAUACAUUUUCAUUAUAUGACAAUAUUCGAGAAGUCAUGUUCUGAUAAACAGACCAAAAGCAUAAACAACAAAAGAUAGACCAUACAACAGUUACAUAUGACAACUGGUCUAAUAUCAAAAGAUCUUGAUAAGUCAUCCAACUUAUGCCCUCGCACCACUACCUGUAAUACAACAAAACUAAGUGGGUCAGGCUUGGAAGCCUGGUGAGCAUAUAGGGUUUCCAAGCCACAAUAAAUAAUUAUAUUUAAUUCACCAACCAACAACAACAACCUGAUUACCCAUUCCCGUUAUCCUCACUUUACGUCCCUAAAGCAACAUCUAUUACAAGGGACCUAAUCUAGGAUUUUCAUUGGGAUGGACUCUACUGCAAGGGGUUUCCUCAGCAAUAAAAGUCCUAAAGGCAACCAUGAGGGGGAUAGAGUACACUGGUGAACACAUCGUUCACAACACCUACAGGUUAUGAGUCUGCUAGCGUUCCACAGGACUGUCUAGAAGGAGUCUGUGGUCGUUAUCCAUACUCCGCUGGAUAACUAGAAUAACAACAACAACAUCAAGGCCUCUCAUCUGUUUAUCACACAUCAACUAUCUACCCAUGUUCUACCCAACAUUUUAGUAGAUAAAAUAUACAUUUUUAUACAUGUUGGAUAUAGUGUCUAAGUCCAUAACUUUAUUUGGUAUGUACUUGACCCGACCCGGCAUGGUCCAUUUGGGUUGCAUGGCAUUGCAAUACUUGGAUAGACUAAAUGAGAGAAUAUGGCACUUAUGAUUAUUAAUAUAUUAUAAGUUCUAAUAUAUUAAUAAUAGUAUUAUUUAAUUAGUAUUUGAUCAAGUAUUAAUCUAGUAUUAAUUUGGUGAUCAAAGUGAGACUAAUUAAAUAUAUAAGGGUUGAUUAUGACAAUCAUCAAUUCUUUUAUGGUGGAUUAAUGAUCCAUGGUUUAUGGGUUAUGGAUGUAACCAUUUGGAGCUCCAUGGAUAGUCCAUGGGAGUUACAAACCCAUGGGUCAUGAGAAAUGAAGAGUCAUGACAAUUAUGGGUCUUCAUGAUGAAACUCUAAUUGUGACACCACUAUAAAAGGGACCCUUUGGCUAACAAAAUCAGACCUAGUGUUACUAGAGAGGGCAUAACCGAUUUUUGAGUGUAAGAAUUAUUCUCUCAAGUUAUUCCAAGUUUUGUGGUGCUGUGUGAAGCAUUUGAGGUACAACAUUUGGGGUGCUAGGCUCACAUAGUCUUGAAGGAAUCCAAGCAACAACAAGGUAUGUAUUUCUACUAGUUUUUAUGUUUUAUGUAAUCCCCAUGCCAUGCUAGUUAGGAAAUAACCUUGAAAAAGAAAUUUGCAUGUAUAUAGAGAAAACAUAGAUUCAAGGUUAUUAGGGUUGCAUGUACACUUAGGAAGUGUUAGAAUGCUCAAAACCCAUCANNNNNNNNNNNNNNNNNNNNNNNNNNNNNNNNNNNNNNNNNNNNNNNNNNNNNNNNNNNNNNNNNNNNNNNNNNNNNNNNNNNNNNNNNNNNNNNNNNNNNNNNNNNNNNNNNNNNNNNNNNNNNNNNNNNNNNNNNNNNNNNNNNNNNNNNNNNNNNNNNNNNNNNNNNNNNNNNNNNNNNNNNNNNNNNNNNNNNNNNNNNNNNNNNNNNNNNNNNNNNNNNNNNNNNNNNNNNNNNNNNNNNNNNNNNNNNNNNNNNNNNNNNNNNNNNNNNNNNNNNNNNNNNNNNNNNNNNNNNNNNNNNNNNNNNNNNNNNNNNNNNNNNNNNNNNNNNNNNNNNNNNNNNNNNNNNNNNNNNNNNNNNNNNNNNNNNNNNNNNNNNNNNNNNNNNNNNNNNNNNNNNNNNNNNNNNNNNNNNNNNNNNNNNNNNNNNNNNNNNNNNNNNNNNNNNNNNNNNNNNNNNNNNNNNNNNNNNNNNNNNNNNNNNNNNNNNNNNNNNNNNNNNNNNNNNNNNNNNNNNNNNNNNNNNNNNNNNNNNNNNNNNNNNNNNNNNNNNNNNNNNNNNNNNNNNNNNNNNNNNNNNNNNNNNNNNNNNNNNNNNNNNNNNNNNNNNNNNNNNNNNNNNNNNNNNNNNNNNNNNNNNNNNNNNNNNNNNNNNNNNNNNNNNNNNNNNNNNNNNNNNNNNNNNNNNNNNNNNNNNNNNNNNNNNNNNNNNNNNNNNNNNNNNNNNNNNNNNNNNNNNNNNNNNNNNNNNNNNNNNNNNNNNNNNNNNNNNNNNNNNNNNNNNNNNNNNNNNNNNNNNNNNNNNNNNNNNNNNNNNNNNNNNNNNNNNNNNNNNNNNNNNNNNNNNNNNNNNNNNNNNNNNNNNNNNNNNNNNNNNNNNNNNNNNNNNNNNNNNNNNNNNNNNNNNNNNNNNNNNNNNNNNNNNNNNNNNNNNNNNNNNNNNNNNNNNNNNNNNNNNNNNNNNNNNNNNNNNNNNNNNNNNNNNNNNNNNNNNNNNNNNNNNNNNNNNNNNNNNNNNNNNNNNNNNNNNNNNNNNNNNNNNNNNNNNNNNNNNNNNNNNNNNNNNNNNNNNNNNNNNNNNNNNNNNNNNNNNNNNNNNNNNNNNNNNNNNNNNNNNNNNNNNNNNNNNNNNNNNNNNNNNNNNNNNNNNNNNNNNNNNNNNNNNNNNNNNNNNNNNNNNNNNNNNNNNNNNNNNNNNNNNNNNNNNNNNNNNNNNNNNNNNNNNNNNNNNNNNNNNNNNNNNNNNNNNNNNNNNNNNNNNNNNNNNNNNNNNNNNNNNNNNNNNNNNNNNNNNNNNNNNNNNNNNNNNNNNNNNNNNNNNNNNNNNNNNNNNNNNNNNNNNNNNNNNNNNNNNNNNNNNNNNNNNNNNNNNNNNNNNNNNNNNNNNNNNNNNNNNNNNNNNNNNNNNNNNNNNNNNNNNNNNNNNNNNNNNNNNNNNNNNNNNNNNNNNNNNNNNNNNNNNNNNNNNNNNNNNNNNNNNNNNNNNNNNNNNNNNNNNNNNNNNNNNNNNNNNNNNNNNNNNNNNNNNNNNNNNNNNNNNNNNNNNNNNNNNNNNNNNNNNNNNNNNNNNNNNNNNNNNNNNNNNNNNNNNNNNNNNNNNNNNNNNNNNNNNNNNNNNNNNNNNNNNNNNNNNNNNNNNNNNNNNNNNNNNNNNNNNNNNNNNNNNNNNNNNNNNNNNNNNNNNNNNNNNNNNNNNNNNNNNNNNNNNNNNNNNNNNNNNNNNNNNNNNNNNNNNNNNNNNNNNNNNNNNNNNNNNNNNNNNNNNNNNNNNNNNNNNNNNNNNNNNNNNNNNNNNNNNNNNNNNNNNNNNNNNNNNNNNNNNNNNNNNNNNNNNNNNNNNNNNNNNNNNNNNNNNNNNNNNNNNNNNNNNNNNNNNNNNNNNNNNNNNNNNNNNNNNNNNNNNNNNNNNNNNNNNNNNNNNNNNNNNNNNNNNNNNNNNNNNNNNNNNNNNNNNNNNNNNNNNNNNNNNNNNNNNNNNNNNNNNNNNNNNNNNNNNNNNNNNNNNNNNNNNNNNNNNNNNNNNNNNNNNNNNNNNNNNNNNNNNNNNNNNNNNNNNNNNNNNNNNNNNNNNNNNNNNNNNNNNNNNNNNNNNNNNNNNNNNNNNNNNNNNNNNNNNNNNNNNNNNNNNNNNNNNNNNNNNNNNNNNNNNNNNNNNNNNNNNNNNNNNNNNNNNNNNNNNNNNNNNNNNNNNNNNNNNNNNNNNNNNNNNNNNNNNNNNNNNNNNNNNNNNNNNNNNNNNNNNNNNNNNNNNNNNNNNNNNNNNNNNNNNNNNNNNNNNNNNNNNNNNNNNNNNNNNNNNNNNNNNNNNNNNNNNNNNNNNNNNNNNNNNNNNNNNNNNNNNNNNNGAUUUUUGCAUGGAUUAGGAAAAGAUUUUGAUAACAAAAAGAAUCUAAGUCAUAGAUCCAAGCAUAAUCUUACCUUAGAUGAAGAAUUUUGUGGAAAUUUCCUCUUGAAUGCUUCCUAAAUUUCGAGAUCUUUAACUGGAGAGGGAGGAUUGUUCUUCAAGACUUAGAGAGUUUGGAAGAGAUUUUUGUGGUGUGUGUGUGUUUGCAUAUGGCCGAGAGUGAGAGAGAGGAGAGAAGAGAAGUGAUUUUGAAGUGAUGUUGCAUGGAAGAAUGAGAUAUAAUGCAUGGAUAUCCAAUGAAUAAAAAUGAGGUGGCAUGGUAAAGUCAACUCUCCUCUUGGGCUUGAUUUGGGCCGAAAACAUGGAGGAAAAAAAAGAAAUUUGGGCCUUUGCCCUUAAGCCCAAUAUUAGAGUUAAUCUUGGGUAUGUUUUAAGUCUAAAAGAAUGUGGUAGGAUUUUUAUAUUUUUAUUGGACUAGUUUAGGUUAUUCAUGUAUCAAGGCUUUUAAUUCAUUUCAUUCUAGGCCCAACAUGGCCCAAAAUGUUGAAAUAAAUUAGUGUGGGUCCAAUUAGAGCCCAAAUUAGGGUUCUAAGCCCAUGAUAGUCUAAUUGGAAGCUUAUUGGUUAGUCCAAAAUGGACUUAAACAAGGACUUCUAGGGUCUCCAAUUGUUUGAUGACUAUUUGUAGUACUUGUAUGAUGCAUUGGAUUUAAGUUUUUGAUUCACAUUAACUUGAGUGUAUAGAUUACAGGACACAAAAUUUCCAGUUGUGACAUGCAUGUACACUUAGGAAGUGUUAGAAUGCUCAAAACCCAUCAGUGGUAUCAGAGCCUAGGAUUGUUUUUUGUAUACUUGAUGCAAAACUGCUUAAAAAUCGAAAAAUCUGCUCACUGACGACUGGACUCGCCGAGUUCAUGGGGAGGACUCGCCGAGUCCAUGAACAAAUUCAUCAUACUCGUCGAGUAGGAUCAUGCACUCGACGAGUAGGAGCGUGCUGGGCAGUUUUUCGAGUUUUGUUGCUGGAAAUGGAUUAAAAUCAUUAUCCCAAUCUGUUUUGGACUUGUAAAAUCUAUUUUUCAAAGUGAUAAUGACUAUGUUAACCCAUUUUGCAUGACUUUUAUCAAUGUUCAAGUAUUGUAUAUGUUUAUAUANGCAUGUAUAUAGAGAAAACAUAGAUUCAAGGUUAUUAGGGUUGCAUUGUCACACCCCCGAACCAGACGGCGGAAAUNGAAGAGACUUGGAAUAGUUUCAAUUCUUGCCCUCAAGUUUUGGAAUUUGAAAAGUCUUACACUCUAAUACUUUAAUUCCAAAUUAAACCUUAGAUUUUUAAAAAGUUUAAAAAUCAACACUUAUACUAUUAUUAUAAUUUUAUUAUAUAGAUAUGUAUAAGAAUAUGUCGUUCUUACCGUUAGUAGGCCUCAUUCACGAAGCCGGUCUAUAAGGGGGGUAUAAGGUUGUUGCCUAUAAAAUGGUGACUUAAUGGGUGUCCACUCUCACCCACCGCUUCCUUGAUCGGUGGAGGGUCGUUAGCCGAACGGGUAGGAUAUGACUUUAAAUUCUCAUUAAAAGUAUAAUGAAUUAUAAAGUAACUAUACAUUAUAAAUUCCCAAUCUUAGUUACUUUAGGAAAAUGUGAAAUUGGUGCUAGCCCAUAAAAUUACACUUUGUACCUUACCAAGUCGUUAGUGGAGCGUGUGUGGUUAACCGGCACACUAACAUGGACAAGUAAGAGUGGCAAAAGGUGACUUGACUUCAUUAUAGAUCGGUGGAGCAUGUGUGGUUAACCGGCACAUCGAUUAGGUAAUAUUGUUAAGGGUACCAAGUCAAUUUGUAUGGUUAUUCACACCUUGUUUGUGAUCCUCGGCAUCCCAGUCACAAACUUGAGAGGGCACAUUCGAGAUUCAAACAUGCCAUUGAAAAGUUCAAUGUAUCUCAAAAGAUCUAGGAGUUUCAAAACCAAUAAAACCUAAUAAUAAAAUAUUUCGUUCUUAUGGUGGAAAUUGGUAAAUCGUCAUUUACCUACCUUCAAAUAUUUUAUAGUGUGGAUUACGGCAUCCCUCUUCCACCUAUAAAUAGUUUGUUGGAUCCUAGCCUUAAUAUUUCAUUUGGGUGACUUAUUAAGGAUUCUUAAUCUAAUGAAACUUGUCUUUCUUUCAGAUGUCUUCCAAUAACGCUGCUAGCUCAAACCCUACAAGCUCCUUUUCCCUAAUGAACUUGUGUGGUAAGGUCAUCUUUGAUGGAUCCAACUUUAAUGAGUGGAUCAGAAACAUCAGGAUGAUUACCCGCUAUGAGGACCAAGAAUAUGUCCUUGACAGGGAGCUUAAGGUUGUUAAUGAAGUCACUGCUACUCCUGAAGAGUUUGCAGAGUUCAUUGCACAUGAGAAGGAGGCCACCAAUGUGUCUUGCAUCAUAAUGGCCACAACCGGAACUCCAAAAAUCUUAUGAAGAUUUCUACCCCUAUGAGAUGCACCUAGAUCUGAUGGAAAGGUACCAUCAGAGCGCGCGUCAAGAGAGGUAUGAAAUCAUUUCCUCCAUGAUAACCGCAAGGAUGAAGGAUGGUGAACCCAUCACCGGUCACUUGCAGAAGAUGCAGAGGUUCGUUGACCGGUUGCUAAAGCUCAAUGUUGACUUCCCUGAGGAAUUGGCGAUUGACAUCAUUCUCCAUUCCUUACCUCCAAGUUAUGAUCAGUUUCGUAUGACUUAUCAUAUGAACAAGGAGGAAGUCACACUUAGCAAACUUCAAGGACUCUUAAGGACAGCUGAAAAUGGCCUUAAGGGUAAAGCGGUUGCUACUUCUACUCCUUUAACAGCCCCUGUUCUUGCAAUUGGGCAAGGGAAGGGUAAGAAGAGGAAAAGCCCUUCAAAGGGUACCAAGGGUAAGACUCUUGAUGGUUCCUCUUCAAGUGGGACAAAGAAAGGUCCCAUUACUCCUUCUUCGAACCCAAAGGAAGCACAGUGCUUCUAUUGCCAAGAUAAGGGACACUUCAAGCGAAGCUGCGCCAAAUAUCUGCAAGAUGUAAAGGAUGGGAAGGUUAAACCCACCCAUGCAGGUAUUUACACAAUAUUGUCUAACAACUCAUCUAAUGCUAAUUCUUGGGUGCUUGAUACAGGGUGUGGUAUUCACAUUUGUACUGAUUUGCAGGCACUAAGAAGAAGUGAGCAAGUGGAGCACGGGAAGAUAAACUUAGUCAUGGGCAACAGGAAAGCAUCACCUGUUACCAAGAUAGGAGUUUAUUCUUUAUUGCUUAAUAAUGGGUUAAUGUUAGAUUUGAAUAAGUGUUGUUACUCGCCCGAAAUGGCGAGAAAUAUUAUUUCUUUUCAUGGCUUGUACAAACAAGGUUUUACAUUUUCAUUUGAUAAUAAAAAUGGUGCUAUUAAUGUUUAUUACAAUGAUGUAUUUUACUUUAAAGCAAUACCUUGUGAUGGUGUAUAUGAAGCCGUGAAUGUUGUAGACAAUCUAGGAAAUAAUGUGUUGUAUAUUGAUUCUUCUGAUAGCUUGGAUAAAGCAUCCUUGUGGCAUUGUCGUCUUGGACAUGUUAGCAAGAAGCGCAUAGGCCAACUCCAAAAGGCUGGAGUCUUGGAAUCAUUUGACCUCAAGUCAGAUGAUAGUUGCGAGUCUUGUUUACUUGGAAAAAUGACAAAGUCACCCUUCACAGGUACUUGUGAUAGGGGUGAAGGUUUGUUGGACCUUGUACACACGGAUGUGUGUGGGCCCUUCAGAGUUGCUACAAGGGAUGCUAAUCGUUAUUAUGUGACUUUUACUGAUGAUUACAGUAGAUAUGGAUAUAUUUACUUAAUCAAGCAUAAGUCAGAAACCUUUGAAAAGUUCAAAGAGUUUAAGCAGGAAGUUGAGAAUCAAUUGGGCAGGAACAUCAAGAUGCUCCGAUCCGAUCGGGGAGGAGAGUAUCUUAGCAUUGAGUUCCUUGACUAUCUUAAGGAAUGUGGGAUUGUCUCACAAUUGACACCUCCCAGGACACCACAGUUGAAUGGUGUAGCUGAGAGGCGCAAUCGAACCCUGUUGGAUAUGGUUCGUUCCAUGAUGAGUCGAGCUUCGUUACCAAUCUCUUUCUGGGGGUAUGCCUUAGAGACUGCCGCCCAUAUCCUUAAUCUAGUCCCUACUAAAAAGGUUGCCAAAACACCUCACGAGAUGUGGACUGGGAAAGUGCCCAAUUUGGACCACAUCAAGAUUUGGGGUUGUGAAGCUUUUGUGAGGCGUGAGACUCAUGACAAGCUUGAACCCCGAAGCGAGAGGUGUAUUUUCAUCGGCUACCCACAGAGAUCCUUUGGUUACCUCUUCUACAGACCCAGUGAUAAUGUGGUCUUUGUAGCAAGAAGAGGAGUCUUUCGUGAGAGAGAAUUCAUAAGCCAAGGGGACAGUGGGAGGCAAAUUGACCUUGAAGAACUUCAAGAGUCAAGUGGUGAAGGAACCUCAAAUGAUGUCAGCCAACAUGAGGAGGAGACUCCUGUUGAGCCGAUAGAUGAAUCUGUACCUCCAAUACGUUCCAUUAGGGUCAGGAACACACCUGAUUUUUAUUAUGGUUAUCACAUCACCACUGAAGGUGAUACAUUUAUCAGUGAUAGUACACUGAUAGAUUUGGAUGAACCUAAUAAUUAUAAGGAAGCCAUGGCAGGCCCUGAGUCUGCGAAAUGGAAGGAGGCUAUGGACAGCGAGAUUCAGUCCAUGUAUGACAAUCAAGUUUGGAACUUGGUUGACAAUGUACCAGGUCGUAAGACAGUUGGGUGCAAAUGGAUCUUCAAGAAGAAGACCGACAUGGAUGGGAAAGUACACACUUAUAAAGCGCGACUGGUUGCGAAGGGCUUUACUCAAACUCCGGGAGUUGACUAUGAUGAGACCUUCUCACCAGUAGCUAAGAUUAAGUCUAUUAGAGUGUUGUUAGCCAUAGCUGCAUUUCAUGACUAUGAAAUAUGGCAAAUGGAUGUCAAAACCGCUUUCCUUAAUGGGAAGUUGGCUGAGGAUGUUUACAUGGCUCAGCCAGAGGGUUUUGUCGAUCCAAAAUACCCUAAUAGAGUGUGUAAGCUUGAAAAAUCCAUUUAUGGAUUGAAACAAGCAUCUCGCAGGUGGAAUCUUUGCUUUGAUGAGAAAGUCAAAGAGUUUGGCUUUUCUAGGAGUGAGGAUGAGUCUUGUGUGUAUGUCAGGGCUAGUGGGAGCAUAGUUAGCUUCUUGGUGUUGUAUGUGGAUGACAUACUUCUCAUAGGAAACGACAUCCCAACUUUGCAGGAGGUUAAGGCCUGGCUUGGGAAGUGUUUUGCUAUGAAGGACCUUGGGGAAGCUGCCUAUAUCCUAGGGAUAAGGAUAUUGAGAGAUAGGAGUAAGAGACUAAUUGGACUUAGUCAAAGUACUUAUGUGGAUAAGGUACUGAAGAGGUUCAGUAUGCAAGAUUCCAAGAAAGGAGAAUUACCAAUCCAGAGUAAUGCCAAGCUAAGUAAGACUCAGAGUCCGAGUACAGAGGCUGAGAUAGCUGAAAUGAGUCAGAUACCAUAUGCUUCCGCUGUGGGCUCGAUCAUGUAUGCUAUGACUUGUACUCGCCCUGAUGUGGCCUUUGCUUUGAGCAUGGUCAGUAGAUAUCAAGGGAACCCUGGCAAGGCACACUGGACAGCGGUAAAGAACAUUCUCAAGUAUUUGCGGAGGACUAAGGACUGGGUCCUUACCCUCGGAGGCAGUGAUGACUUGAGAGUGGAAGGAUAUAGUGAUGCUAGCUUUCAAACUGAUAGGGAUAAUUUCCGCUCUCAGUCAGGCUGGGUCUUUAUCCUAAAUGGAGGAGCAAUUACUUGGAAAAGUUCCAAGCAGGAGACAGUAGCUGAUUCAACUUGUGAAUCAGAGUACAUAGCAGCAAGCGAGGCAGCAAAAGAGGCGAUAUGGCUAAAGAACUUCAUCGGAGACCUUGGAGUUGUACCAGCUAUAAAGGAGCCAAUGGAAAUUUUCUGUGACAGUGAAAGUGCGGUUGCUUUGGCGAAAGAACCAAGAGAUCACGGGAGAUCUAGGCACAUUGACAGAAAAUACCAUUUCAUCAGACAUAGAAUAGAAGAAGGACUCCUCGUGGCAAAGAGGGUAUCAUCAGAUGAGAACCCGGCAGAUCCCCUCACGAAGGGACUGAGCAGGGUUAAGCAUUUACAACAUGCGAGGUGCAUUGGGUUGAAGGAUGAUAUUAGUUUCAAUAAUUAGAUUCCUGAAACUUGUAAAAUGUAAUUUACAUUUGAUGAUAAAUAAAAGUUGUUGUUUAUUUAUGAGUAAGGUGUUACUAUCUUGUGUUGAUUGUUUACUAUGUUUCAAUUUUGCAUGUUUUUACUUCCAGAAUAAUUAUGUUAUUAUUCAAACCAUCCACAGUCAGUCAAACUUUGGAAGUAAGUAUUGAUUUAAGACUGUCAUGAAUUUGGCUUUGUANUAUGAUUUGUCUAAAGUGCUUUAGACAAUGCAAUGGUUGCUACAACAUUCUUGAGUACUCAUAAGGGCUGAGUAUUGGAUUCAACCCACGCUCACUUGCAUCACUUCAUGGAAUUCAUCUCGAGUCAUCGUUAGACAACAAUAUCAUAUAAAUCUUCAAACCUAGAGAUAUGAGUUGUUGACUAUGAGUUGGUUAUUCAUUGAUUGUACGAAACCGCAUUGGUAACUCGAUGUUAUAAAAUGUGCCUUUGUGAGUAAUUCAACAAGUAGUUAGUACAAGAAUAUCAGCCGAAGUUUAUCUGUUCCUUCUAGAAAUAGAAGCGAUAUCUGGGCCCCUCGAUGAUUUGGUUUUGACCUAUGUACCAGGCCCGAUCAGAACCUGAUAUGUGCAUAAUUAGUUAAUUAUUUAGCAUACAUUUUUAUUCAUUUUUAACUAAUUAUGUGUAUAAUGUGGACAAAAGGUACUUAAUAAUGUUUAAAUUUUGAUUUCAGUCCAAAAGACAUGCUUGGGAGUGAAAGGGAAUGAGGGGAAGAAAUUAGAGACCAAAGAAUGAAGAAUGAGGGACAAAAGCCUUCCUACUCUGCGAGUUCACGAGCCUACUCGGCGAGUUCAUUAGAAUAUUCUAGAAGAUAAGUCAAGACUCCUGGUAUGACACGGAUAACUAANAAGAGACUAAUUGGACUUAGUCAAAGUACUUAUGUGGAUAAGGUACUUAAGAGGUUCAAUAUGCAAGAUUCCAAGAAAGGAGAAUUACCGAUCCAGAGUGAUGCCAAGCUAAGUAAGACUCAGAGUCCGAGUACAGAGGCUGAAAAUAGUUGAGAUGAGUCAGAUACCAUAUGCUUCCGCUGUGGGCUCGAUCAUGUAUGUUAUGAAUUGUACUCGCCCUGAUGUGGUCUUUGCUUUGAGCAUGCUUAGUAGAUAUCAAGGGAAUCUUGGCAAGGCACACUGGACAGCGGUAAAUAACAUUCUCAAGUAUCUGCGGAGGACUAAGGACUGGGUCCUUACCCUCGGAGGAAGUGAUGACUUGAGAGUGAAAGGAUAUAGUGAUGCUAGCUUUCAAACUGAUAGGGAUAAUUUCCGCUCUCAGUCAGGAUGGGUCUUUAUCCUAAAUCGAGGAGCAAUAACUCGGAAAAGUUCCAAGCAGGAGACAGUAGCUAAUUCAACUUGUGAAUCAGAGUACAUAGCAGCAAGCGAGGCAGCAAAAAAGGCGAUAUGGCUAAAGAACUUCAUUGGAGACCUUGGAGUUGUACCAGCUAUAAAGGAGCCAAUGGAAAUUUUCUAUGAAAGUGAAAGUGCGGUUGCUUUGGCUAAAGAACCAAGAGAUCACAGGAGAUCUAGGCACAUUGACAGAAAAUACCAUUUCAUUAGACAUAGAAUAGAAGGACUCCUCGUGGCAAAGAGGGUAUCAUCAGAUGAGAACCCGGCAGAUCCCCUCACGAAGGGACUGAGCAGGGUUAAGCAUUUACAGCAUGCAAGGCGCAUUGGGCUGAAGGAUGAUAUUAGUUUCAAUAAUUAGAUUCCUGAAACUUGUAAAAUGUAAUUUACAUUUGAUGAUAAAUAAAAGUUGUUGUUUAUUUAUGAGUAAGGUGUUACUAUCUUGUGUUGAUUGUUUACUAUGUUUCAAUUUUGCAUGUUUUUACUUCCAGAAUAAUUAUGUUAUUAUUCAAACCAUCCACAGUCAGUCAAACUUUGGAAGUAAGUAUUGAUUUAAGACUGUCAUGAAUUUGGCUUGUAUGAUUUGUCUAAAGUGCUUUAGACAAUGCAAUGGUUGCUACAACAUUCAUGAGUACUCAUAAGGGCUGAGUAUUGGAUUCAACCCACGCUCACUUGCAUCACUUCAUGGAAUUUAUCUCGAGUGAUCGUGAGACGGUAAUAUCAUAUAAAUCUUCAAACCUAGAGAUAUGAGUUGUUGACUAUGAGUUGGUUAUUCAUUGAUUGUACGAAAACGCAUUGGUAACUCGAUGUUANCUGGGUUAGAUUGGAGUUGUCAUAUGUGAUUCUAAUAUGUUUAAAAUUCAGUUUUGCUUGGGGGCAAGCAAAAGUCAAGUGUGGGGUAUUUUGAUAUGUGCAUAAUUAGUUAAUUAUUUAGCAUACAUUUUUAUUCAUUUUUAACUAAUUAUGUGUAUAAUGUGGACAAAAGGUACUUAAUAAUGUUUAAAUUUUGAUUUCAGUCCAAAAGACAUGCUUGGGAGUGAAAGGGAAUGAGGGGAAGAAAUUAGAGACCAAAGAAUGAAGAAUGAGGGACAAAAGCCUUCCUACUCUGCGAGUUCACGAGCCUACUCGGCGAGUUCAUUAGAAUAUUCUAGAAGAUAAGUCAAGACUCCUGGUAUGACACGGAUAACUAACAUUUACUCGGCGAGUUGGGUCUGCUACUCGCCGAGUACACCCUGUUUUGUGAUAAUUAUAAAUACCAAACUAUUAUCUGAUUGGAAGGACUUCUGACGUUUUUGGAGCUUCAUCUGCGAUUGAAGAACCCUUGGAGGAGCUAAGGAACCCUAAUCUUCAAUCCCUUGAAGAAUCAAGGCAAUUAGGUUAAUCAUUCCACUUAGCUUUAGGAAUUAAGUAUGUUUAGCUUAGUUAAAUUUGUUUUUGUGUUUGUUUUUACUGCAACUAUGAACUAAAUUCGUUUUUGUUUCUGUUUGGGGAAUACCAAGUAACUCCUAUGGUUUAAUUCUUAGCUUUUGAUUGAUUGUUUAUUGGUGAUUUAUUAAAUUAAGUUUGUUAAAGAACCUUAUGCAUUAAUCACAACUAUUUUCUGUUAAUUGGAAGAUAAUUAAGCUGCAUAAACAUCUCUUAGUUGUUAACCUCAUAUGUCUAUGUGAACACUUAAUCAUAUGCUUAGGAAUAAUGAAUAUGAAACUAAGAUUAACAAGAGAAUGGGUAAAUUAAUGUGUGAGCUUGUUUGAGAAACCAACAAACAAGAGGUUAAUUGAAUCGCCAAUUUGAUUAACCAAUUACAAAUCUUAUUUAAUCCAAAUAAUUAAUCUAGGGAAUUAAUUAGUUUAAACACUUGAUCACUGCUUGAAUUAAUUGAUUGUCUAAGGGUUAGUAGUAAUGAACAUGAACCUAACCACUAUAGUUGAUAGCCAAUAGCAAUUAAUCUAUCAUAAAUUCAAAAUAACCAUAGGAGUGAAUUGGUUGAACCUAAAUAGAAACAUCUUAUUCAAAUUUGGUGAAUCAGUUACUUGCUUUAGUUAUUUAGUUAAUUAAGUGUUUAAGUUGUGUGUUUAAGUUUCUAGUCUUGCAAAACUAGAGAAAAACCCUUUUUACUUUCAUUAUUUGCUUAGUCAAAAUUAGUUAUUAGGUUAAUUUCCGUUCCCUGAGUUCGACACCCUACUAAUCCAACUAUACCACUAAAAGACAGGUUCACUGCCUUUGUGUGCUAAAUUUAUUAAUUAAAAGUAGGAAUAAAAUAAGUGCAUUUUACACACAUCAAGUUUUUGGCGCCNUUUGCACACAUUAAGUUUUUGGCGCCGUUUCCGAGGAACGGUUCUAAAUAAUUAAUCUAAUCCCUAAUUUUUUCGAUCCUUUGUGUGAGUUUACUGGCAUAAAGUUAAUUUAUUGCAAUUUAGUAGUUAGUAAUUAGGUGUUAGCAUCUGUUUUAGUUUUAAUAUUAAGUUUAGUUUUUUUUUUUUUUUAAAUUUCACUGUUACUCGCCGAGUGCAUUCGCACCUACUCGGUAAGUAUAAGUGUAUUUUGCAGUUAAUUUUCGUUUUUUUUAGUUGCAUUUUUUGUUCUUUUUACGUUUUUAUCUUGUUCUAUUUCAGGACUUUCAUGACCAGAGGAUCAAACAUUCCGCUGGUACCCCCGUUUGAAGACCCCGAAUCCGCAUUAAAAAGGAACAAAGGAAAGGACGUGGAGAGCUCGAGUACACCCAAGAAGUCACCUUUGUCUAACGUGAAGACUAUUUUUGGGAAGAAAAAGAGCAGCAAAGCAGGUCCAUCCAGCGCAUCUUUAGCAAGUGAAGAACCGAUCAAGGAAGACACCGAGUACGACACCGAGGAGGAAGAAGAACUUACAUACGGGCACGACUCCGAUUCCGGCGACGAGUUAGCUCUUACCAUGGCUAACAUUGAUGAAAUCCCCAUAGGGGAAUGGAAGAAGAGGAUACGCGAUGACACUGGCCCGGGACUUGUGCAACCCGCAAUUCCCGCGACUGCUACUUUUGAGCUCAAGGGUCAUAUCCUAGCAUUACUUAAAGAAAUACCUUUCUAUGGAAAAGACCACGAAGAUGCCUACAAGCAUUUGGAUGAAGUCAAUGAUGUAGCUAAUUACUUUAAUGUUCCAAAUGUGCCUCGUGAGACUCAGCUGCUUCGCAUGCUUCCAGUGACAUUCAAAGGCGCUGCAAAAGACUGGCUCAAAUCACUUCCCCCCUGAUCAGUCACCACAUGGGCCAAGAUGAAGGAAGAAUUCAUUGAUCACUUUUUCCCACCUUCCAAGAUAGCCAAGUUGAAGAAGGCCAUUGCUAACUUUGAACAACAAGUUGGAGAGUCGCUAUAUGAAGCUUGGGAGAAGUAUAAAAAGUUUGCUACGAAAUUGCCCACACCAUGACCUCAAUAGCCAGCAAGAAGUCUUCGUCUUCUAUGAUGGAGUCAAUGUCACAACCAGACAGUUAUUAGACUCGCAAGGCCCGCUCACAAAGAAGCCACCCCCGAUGAUCAAGGAAUUGAUUGAAGAAUUCUCUAAACACUCUAGAGAAUACCACAACCCUAGAAAUGAUGUUACUAGGGGAGCCGCAUAUGCAGCUACUGAAGACUUAUCCGUUGUCAUGGCUAUGAUAAAAACCAUGGAUAAGAGGAUGGAUAAAAUGGAUCAAACGAUCCAUACUAUUCAGGUGGGUUGUGAAAACUGCAAUGGGCCUCAUCUUGCUAGAGAUUGCGACUUGGAUGAGAAUGACAACAAGAAGGUGCAAGUAUGUUACUCAAGUGAGGACCGAUAUGAUGAAGACUGACGCAAACAAAAGAAAGAGUGGCUCCCUUAUGAAGAGUACAUGAAGGCCAAGGAGGAGAAGUUCAGGCAAAAAGGAAGAGGUUUCUACCAAAAGGAGGAGCCGGUACAAGAGAGAAAGCCAAGCUUGGAAGAGAUGCUUACCAAAUUUGUGGCUGCUUCCAAAAAAGACAUAGUGAUCAUGAUGCUGCAAUUCAAGAAACAAGAACCAUGCUAAGGAACCAGCAAGCAUCUAUCCAUAAUAUAGAAACGCAGCUUGGGCAACUUGCUCAACAAAUCAACCAAAGAUCACCGGGCGAACUUCCUAGUAAAACCGAAAAUAACCCACGAGGCGCGCACAUAAAUAUAGUUACAACAAGAAGUGGGAAAAUAAUCACUCCCUUGGCCCCUAUUCAGACUGAAGCAUCAAAGGAAUCACAGAAGGAGGAGGCAGAAAAUCAAGCAGAAAAUCAAAAUCUUCAAUCUAACAGCUCUACUCGCCGAGUACCAAAUAUGGACUCGGUGAGUACACUGCCAAAUCCGAAGGAACAGGUCCCUGAAAAGUUGUAUCAACCUCCAAUGUCAUACCCAACCCGAGCUAAGAAGGAGAAGCAGGAAGAGGAGUACCAGAAGUUUCUAGAUCAUAUCAAGGCUCUUCAAAUCAACAUACCCUUCAUUGAAGUUGUCAUACAAAUGCCCAAAUAUGCAAAGUUCCUUAAGGAACUUCUCAUUAAUAGAAGGAAGAUGGAGGAAGUGAAGAAGGUAGUCCUCAAUGAAAACUGCUCAGCUGCUAUGCUAAAUAAGCUACCAAAUAAGAAGGGUGACCCGGGGAGUUUGACUUUACCUUGCCAAUUUGGCAACUUGGCUACCAUUCAUGCCUUAGCCGAUUCAGGAGCAAGUGUGAACCUAAUGCCAUAUUCAUUCUUCAAGAAGUUGGAUCUCCCAGAACCAAGGCCAAUUCGCAUGGCAAUUCACUUAGCAAACAAGACAGUCACUUUUCCACGAGGCAUAUGUGAAGACUUAUUGGUCAAAGUGGACAAGUUUGUAUUUCCUACUGAUUUCAUCAUUCUAGACAUGGAGGCGGAUCCCCAAGUCCCAAUCAGCCUUGGAAGACCCUUCCUCAACACGGCAAGUGCUAUAGUAGACAUGAGGGACUCGAAGCUGACCUUGCGGGUAGGAGAAGAUUCAGUCACAUUUGGGGUAGAUCAAGCUAUGAAGUAUGCAAGGAACAGUGACGACACAACGUUCUCAAUUGACAUGCUUGAUGAGUUAUUGGAGGAAUGCAUAAGCGAAGAUUCCAGCAAGUUCAAAAUUUAUGAUGAAGAAUUUGAUCCAGAAAAAGACUUAAUAGAGAUUGAAAGGCUGCUGGAAGAAGCUGAGUUUGAAGAAUUGGUGAAGCAAGCUGACAGCUCUACUCGCCGAGUAGGGCUGAUAUACUCGCCGAGUUCCUCCUUAGAAAAGGCAGAAUUUGUAAAUGCAGCCACAAACUCGUCGAGUACCUUACCUGCACUCAGCGAGUCCAACAGUCGAUUCCAAAAAUCUGAGCUCAAAACGUUACCAGAACAUUUGGAGUAUGCUUUCCUUGAAGAGGGCAACCAAAAGCCAGUAAUCAUAGCCUCUGACCUUGAAGAGGGCAACCAAAAGUGUUGAAGAAGCGGAAGCGGGCCACAACAUGGAGCAUCACCGACAUCAAGGGAUUGAGCCCAUCCUAUUGCUCUUACAAGAUCAAUCUGGAAGAAGGAGUAAAGCCGGUUUUAUAGCACUAAAGAAGAUUAAACCUGAAUAUGCAAGAAGUAGUCAAGAAGGAAGUUGUUAAACUCUUAGAUGCGGGAAUUAUAUAUUCCAUUUCCGACAGUCCGUGGGUGAGUCCGGUCCAAGUGGUGCCCAAGAAAGGAGGGAUGAUGGUCAUAACCAACGAAAAGAGCAAGCUAAUUUCGACACGAAUGGUAACCGGUUGGAGAGUGUGCAUCGAUUAUCAAAAGCUAAACGAUGCCACUCGUAAAGACCAUUUUCCCUUACCUUUUAUUGAUCAAAUGUUAGAAAGAUUAUCGAGCCAUAGUUACUAUUGCUUUCUAGACGGAUUCUUGGGUUAUUUCCAAAUACCCAUAGACCCAAUGGACCAAGAAAAGACCACAUUUACUUGCCCAAGUGGGACUUUUGCUUAUAGGCGCAUGCCCUUUGGGCUAUGCAAUGCACCCACGACUUUUCAAAGGUGUAUGACAGCCAUAUUCCACGAUAUGGUAGAAAAAUUCAUGGAAGUUUUUAUGGACGACUUUUCCGUUUUUGGAUCUUCUUUCCAUGAUUGUCUCACAAAUCUUGACUUAAUGCUUGCUAGGUGUGAAAAAACCGACUUGGUCCUCAACUAGGAGAAAUGUCACUUUAUGGUUGAGGAGGGUAUAGUGUUAGGCCACAAGGUUUCCAAAAUUGGAAUUGAAGUGGAUCGGGCAAAGAUUGACACCAUUGCCAAAUUACCCCCACCAACUAAUGUGAAGGGCAUUAGAAGUUUUCUAGGACACGCGGGUUUUUACCGGCGUUUCAUAAAAGAUUUUUCCAAAAUAACUAGACCUCUAACACAAUUACUAUUAAAAGAUGCACCAUUUAAUUUUACUAAAGAGUGUUUAGAGGCAUUUGAAUUUUUAAAGGAAAAAUUAACUAAUGCCCCGAUCAUUGUUGCACCAAAUUGGAGUUUACCCUUUGAAAUUAUGUGUGAUGCUAGUGACUUUGCAUUAGGAGCUGUCCUUGGUCUAAAGGUUGAUAAGCACUUUCGACCCAUAUAUUAUGCUAGCAAGACUCUAAAUCCAGCCCAAGAAAAUUACACCACCACGGAAAAAGAAUUAUUAGUUGUGGUGUAUGCUUUUGAUAAGUUCCGUCCUUAUUUAGUUUUAUCUAAAACAAUCGUUUUACUGACCACUUUGCUAUCAAGUAUUUAUUUGCCAAACAAGAUGCCAAGCCAAGACUGAUACAAUGGGUGCUACUUCUUCAAGAGUUUGACAUAGAGAUACGAGACAAAAAGGGGAUGGAGAAUGUAGCAGCUGACCACUUGUCAAGGCUUGAAAACCCGCAAUUGCACGAAGAUAGAGUUGGCGAUGAUUUUCCGGACGAGUAUAUUAUGGUGACCGUGGGAGAAGAACCAUGGUUUGCAAAUAUAGCUAAUUACUUAGCUAGCAAUUACAUCCCAAAAGAUCUCACAAGUCAACAAAAGAAGAAAUUCUUUUCCGAGAUAAAAUAUUACUUUUGGGAUGAACCAUAUCUUUUCCGAAGCUGCACGGAUGAGAUCAUACGAAGAUGCAUGUUCGGGAAUGAAAGCCAGAAAAUAUUAGAGCAUUGUCGUAGUGGGCCCACGGGUGGACAUCAUGGAGCACAUUACACUGCAAAGAAGAUCUUUGACAUUGGGUUCUAUUGGCCCACAAUUUUUAAAGAUGCAGCCCAAUUUGUCAAAGAGUGUGAUGCUUGUCAAAGAGUGGGAAACAUUUCAUCUCGAAAUGAAAUGCCACAACAUAGUAUCCAAGUGUGCGAGGUAUUUGAUGUGUGGGGGAUCGACUUCAUGGGACCAUUUCCCAUGUCUAAAGAAAACAAAUACAUAUUGGUGGCGGUGGAUUAUGUAUCCAAAUGGGCGGAGGCACAAGCGUUACCAACUAAUGACGGUCGGGUAGUGGUGCGGUUUUUAAAGAAGUUAUUUUCACGAUUUGGAGUCCCGAAAGCUCUUAUAAGUGACCGAGGCACGCAUUUUGCCAAUGAUCAACUAUAGAAGGUGCUAAGGAAAUAUGGGAUAACCCAUAAAUUUUCUACAUCCUACCAUCCACAAACUAGUGGACAAACCGAAGUGACAAAUCGAGCUUUAAAGCGAAUCUUGGAGAAAUCGGUGGGGAGCAAUCGCAAAGAAUGGUCGGAUAAGCUAGACGAUGCACUUUGGGCUUUCCGUACAGCUUUCAAAACCCCUAUUGGUACUACACCAUAUAGGUUAGUUUAUGGAAAGCAAUGUCAUUUGCCGGUGGAGAUAGAGCAUAAAGCUUUUUGGGCUUUAAAGAUGUGAAACUUCAACAUGGAGGAACUCAAGAGCAGCCGGUUAAUGUAAAUGAAUGUUCUUGAGGAACUUAGAAAUGAUGCAUACUCUAGUUCGUUGAUCUAUAAAGAGAAGACCAAGAUGUGGCAUGUCAAGAGGAUAAAAGAAAAUAAAGAAUUUCAUGAAGGCCAAAAAGUGUUGCUCUUUAAUUCACAACUAAAGCUAUUCUCGGGAAAACUCAAUUUAAGAUGGGAUGGUCCUUUUCUGGUAAAGACGGUGUUUCCACAUGGUGCUAUAGAGCGAUUGUCAAGAGAUGGAACACCUUUCAAGGUCAAUGGACAUAGGGUCAAAAAGUAUAAAGAAGGAGUCCCCAGGAAUGAAGGUAUGGAAGAAUUGUUGUUGCUGGAGGGAAUUGAAACCACGUAAAAGGGGAGGAGUCCGGCUAAUGACUCCUUAAAAAGAAGCGCUUCUCGGGAUGCAACCCGAGUCUCAAGUUUGCAUUUUCUUUCCUUUCCUUUAUUUUUAUUUUUAUUUUAUCUUUUUCAUUCGUCUUCUUCUAAGAAUAUAAUUGCUUGAGGGAAAGCAAUGCCUAGAGAGUGGGGUGGAUGGUUAAAAAUGAGAAAAUACAUUAAUUUUUCAAAACAUUCAAAUUUUUUUCAAACUGCAAGGAUUACUCACUGAGUAGGCACGUAUACUCGGCGAGUACCUGCCCAAGUAACCCAAUAAACGCAUAACAGCAGUUCUACUCGGCGAGUAGCCAACUUACACAGAUGGUUUAUAAUCUGUAAAAUAAGGGUUUUCUCCCAUUUAACCUAUACACUCGCCGUGCACGGCAUCCUUCAAGCAUUCUCUGUGAUUUCUUCAAUUUUCCACUUAAUCUUCGUCUUUCAAAGGAAAAGGUAAGAUCUUUACACUUAAAACUCAUCAAAGGUUCAAGCUUUAUCAUUGAUUUGCCCUUAUUUUGCUUAAAUUCGGAUUUGGGGGUUUCCUCAGAUUCUAGGGUUCUAACUUUGCCAUGAAUUAGGUAAUGUUAGGAGAAAUUUCUUUUGGAUUUAUGGUUAUUUGACUUAAUACAGCAAACCCCUAUGAAAAAUUAGGAGUUUUGGACAGCCUAUAUAUGAUCGACGAAUUUUGGUCCCGAUGUUCAUCCUACUCGCCGAGUAGGUCGUGUACUCGGAGAGUAGGAGGCUAUACAGAACUGUUUUAUUCGAUUUUAAUUACUGGGUGUUGUUUGUUUGUGCUUUCUUAAUGUUGUUAUGCAGGUACCAUGUCCAGAAGGGGUCAGUCUUCACGAGGGGGAAGCCAAGAGGACAUCCCAUGGCUCUCGUUCCGUCAAAUUACAUCCAAAUCGUCUCAUUCCCGUGCAAAGAACAAGUUGGAGGCGCUGAAACAGAAGGAGAUUCAUUUACCCAACGCUGUUGACUGGUAUUGGUUGGGAAAAGUGGGUUUGGAGGAGGAGCUCACACCAUAUUUGGUGAAGGAGUGCAACUUGGGGGAUACCACCAUCAUAUGUGAUGGUUGGUUGCAGUUAUUCAAGCUACAAGAACCUGUUUAUGCUGAACUGUGUUGGGAAUUUUUUGCUACCAUCUCAUUCCGAGGUGGUAGUGAGUAUUACAACCCCAACAUAAUUUCUUUUUCUCUUGGUGGUGAGCUGCGACAAUGCAGCAUGGCUGAAUUUUCCUGGAGGCUGAGGAUUUAUGAUUAAAACACUAUGCUGACUGAGGAUUUUGAAGCCUUUCUGGGAAACUGCCAUAAGGAUCUUCCCGAGGCAGUGGUUGCCUCUACCUGGUGGAAUACUAUUGCCAACCGGGUGUAUAAUCCUUCUACCGCUCAGGAGGGUCAUAUUCGCUCGCCGAUCCAUCAUCUUAUUCACCACUUCGUGGCCAACACGAUCAACAUGUUGAAGGAUUAGGACAAGGUUCCAACCCUUGAUACCUUCUAUCUUUGGAGUAUUAUUACUCCCGACGUUUUCUGCAACAUCCCCUAUUGCAUAGCUAAGUUUCUUGCGGAAGGGGCUGUUAAGGAGAAGAUCAACUCCAAGAUCAAUGGAGGGAUGUUUGUGACGAGGUUGGCGAGGUCGUUUUGGGUCUUAGAUUUGCAAGAAGCAAGAGCGCUCACGGUCAUUUAUNUAUCCCCCCCCGUUCAACACUGCAUUAUAUAGGAGGGCACGGAUCGUGGAGAAGUUUGGUGAUUCCUUUUCCAUUCCACAUGCGGAUGAGCCGGCAAUCCUCGAGGAGUCAGGAAGGCGGGUAAGGCAACGUAGCGAGCGGGUACAAGAAGACCCACCGGUUAUUCCGGUGGAGGAGGACAACGAUGGGUGGAAUCAAGUGGAGUACCGACGCUAUUUGGACGAUAUUGGAAGAGGAGUAAACUAUAAUAAUCAAUCUUUUGAAUACCUCUUCCAACAAAUGAACAUUGCACCAAGACCCGGACCCAGCUAUCCAUACAUUAUGAGUUGGGAAGAAAGAAUGAGGAGAAGAAAUAAAGAAGGAGGAAGCGGAGCUGGAGGAGCCGAUAUGGAAGAAGAAGAUUGAGGACUUUAUUUUUAUGUUUUAUGUUUUUAUGGUGUUUUGUUUUGAACAAUUGUUAAAACUUGGAUGAUUUUUGUUUUUUUUAGGAUUUUUAUUGCUUUCACUUUUAGUUGCUUAUUUUUCAGGGAUGGAAGGUUAGGAACCAUAAUAAAGUGUCAAGGGUCAAGUAAGGAAUGAGAGAUGUUCAAGAAAAAGUACGAAGUAUUGUCCUUAGGAUUGAGUCCGUUAGAGUCGAGAGUAAUGGAGGGUGUUGCUGCUGAAGGGUUUAGAGAAAGGGUCAGUGAAAUUUCCAAUUUCAAAACCUGAGUCAAAAGGAACACGAGUUGGAUCAGUUUUGGAAAUAUAGUGCCUACUCGCCGAGUGCACAAAUUCUACUCGGCGAGUACAUGGGUCAUUACACGUUAUAGUUCCAAGAUAAGAGACACUCGCCGAGUACACGGCAAUACUCGCCGAGUAGACUUGCAAUUUUCGAGUUCCAGAGCUGUUUUGAGCAUUUUCAUUGCAAUACUUGUCCGUUUUUCGUGAAGAAUUGUUACUGAAGAUUUCUAAGAAGUUUUUCCCUUGAUAUUUUCGAGCUGUCAACCACACGAGACGAAUGACACCCAAGACAUGGAUGAGCUGUUCCCAUGUCUAAAGUCAAAUGAAGAUGGAGCUGAAAAGAAGAGUUAUCAACCUAUCGACUGCUACCCCAGGGGAGUUUGUUCCAAUUCUCUCUAUAGUUUGCAUUUUUAUUUUUGCAUGAUAUGCAAUGAGGGCAUUGCAUAAAAUAAGUGUGGGGUAGGGGGUUGGUCACAUAUUAUUAAAUCUAGAAUCUUAAUUUGUGCUAAUUUUAAAAAAAUUUGCAUACCAAGAAUAUGAAUUAGGAAUUAAUUUAGAAAAUUUUGGUAAAAAUAAUAAUUAGGAUUCCGUGUUAGAAUUGUAUGGAUAAUUGCAUGAAGACCCAAAUAUUUAGUUGAGCCAAUAUAUGUUAUAAUGUAUUUGUGGCCUCCCUUAUUCUAGUAAAAUCAUGGGACAAAAACACAACCUUGCUUAGCCCGAGGGAUGCAAUAUGUUUAGCAUCGUGUACUUGAAAUGUAUCCAGGAAAAUUGUUAUUUUAGCCAAUAAAUGUUGAAGUUGAGCGCCCCUGCUUAAGCAUGUAGGGCUUUGAGUGAAAAAAAAGUGAGAUACAUGUUAAAAAAAGAGAAUUACAAGAAGAGUUUGAAGAGUUUUGAAGCUUUCAAAGUGGAGAUCAAAAGAUUGAAAAUUCUGAAAAUUAAAAUUUUUUGAAGAUACCAAAGAUCAAGAAGAUAGUGAAUUCAAAGAAAUCAAGAUCAAAUGCCAAGAAGUGAAGAAUUCCAAAGAACUCUAGUGUGGUAUCAUGUAUUGUAAUUCUAGACUAUGUAUGCUUGGGUUGCUCAAUCAAAAAUACCUUGAGGAUAAGAGGUUUUCUAGGGAUGGAUUCGGAGGGAUGCAUAAAAUGAGCAUUGUUCGGGAAAAGUGGGUGAAUGUUUAUAAGGAUUGUGAGUAUUUAGAGUAUGGGGGUAUUUAGGACAAUUUUAGACACCAAUGCAUGCGUUGCGGUCUUGGCAUAAUGGCUGGGUUAGAUUGGAGUUGUCAUAUGUGGUUCUAAAAUGUUAAAAUUCAGUUUUGCUUGGGGGCAAGCAAAAGUCAAAUGUGGGGUAUUUUAAUAUGUGCAUAAUUAGUUAAUUAUUUAGCAUACAUUUUUAUUCAUUUUUAACUAAUUAUGUGUAUAAUGUGGACAAAAGGUACUUAAUAAUGUUUAAAUUUUGUUUUCGGUCCAAAAGACAUGCUUGGGAGUGAAAGGGAACGAGGGGAAGCAAUUAGAGACCAAAGAAUGAAGAAUGAGGGACAAAAGCCUUCCUACUCUGCGAGUUUACGAGCCUACUCGGCGAGUUCAUUAGAAUAUUUUAGAAGAUAAGUCAAGACUCCUGGUAUGAGACGGAUAACUACCAUUUACUCGGCGAGUUGGGUCUGCUACUCGCCGAGUACACCCUGUUUUGUGAUAAUUAUAAAUACCAAGCUAUUAUCCCAUUGGAAGGACUUCUGACGUUUUUGGAGCUUCAUCUGCGAUUGAAGAACCCUUGGAGGAGCUAAGGAACCCUAAUCUUCAAUCCCUUGAAGAAUCAAGGCAAUUAGGUUAAUCAUUCCACUUAGCUUUAGGAAUUAAGUAUGUUUAGCUUAGUUAAAUUUGUUUUUGUGUUUGUUUUUACUGCAACUAUGAACUAAAUUCGUUUUUGUUUCUGUUUGGGGAAUACCAAGUAACUCCUAUGGUUUAAUUCUUAGUUUUUGAUUGAUUUUCUAUUGGUGAUUUGUUAAAUUAAGUUUGUUAAAGAACCUUAUGCAUUAAUCACAACUAUUUUCUGUUAAUUGGAAGACAAUUAAGCUGCAUGAACAUCUCUUAGUUGUUAACCUCAUAUGUCUAUGUGAACACUUAAUCAUAUGCUUAGGAAUAAUGAAUAUGAAAAUAAGAUUAACAAGAGAAUGGGUAAAUUAAUGUGUGAGCUUUUUUGAGAAACCAACAAACAAGAGGUUAAUUGAACCGCCAAUUUGAUUAACCAAUUACAAAUCUUAUUUAAUCCAAAUAAUUAAUCUAGCGAAUUAAUUAGUUUAAACACUUGAUCACUGCUUGAAUUAAUUGAUUGUCUAAGGGUUAGUAGUAAUGAACAUGAACCUAACCACUAUAGUUGGUAGCCAAUAGCAAUUAAUCUAUCAUAAAUUCAAAAUAACCAUAAGAGUGAAUUGGUUGAACCUAAAUAGAAACAUCUUAAUCAAAUUUGGUGAAUUAGUUGCUUGCUUUAGUUAUUUAGUUAAUUAAGUGUUUAAGUUGUGUGUUUAAGUUUCUAGUCUUGCAAAACUAGAGAAAAACACUUUUUACUUUCAUUAUUUGCUUAGUCAAAAUUAGUUUUUAGGUUAAUUUAUGUUCCCUGAGUUUGACACCAUACUAAUCCAAUUAUACCACUAAAAGACAGGUUCACUGCCUUUGUGUGCUAAAUUUAUUAACUAAAAGUAGGAAUAAAACAAGUGCAUUUUACACACAUCAGAACCUAAUUGAUGUGCUCAAUUUAGUUCUAUGUCGAAACAAAUUAGAGAUCGAGAAAAAAAUGUUGGACAAUAAGUAAGACCAUGUUCCAUGUGUUUGUCCGGCUGAUAUCAUGAGAACAGAGGAUUAUAUGAUCACUUAUCUUAAAUGGCGUAUCAUCAUCAUCUCAGUUCCGAGAGACUUUGAAAGAGCUACGAUUGCUAGUCGGAUUUUGAAGUCAUAUUUGCAAAUAUAGUUAUUAGACUUAUCCAAGUGGGAGACUGUUGGAUAUAGUGUCUAAGUCCAUAACUUUAUUUGGUAUGUACUUGACCCAACCCAGCAUGAUCCAUUUGGGUUGCAUGGCAUUGCAAUACUUGGAUAAACUAAAUGAGAGAAUGAGGCACUUGUGAUUAUUAAUAUAUUAUAAGCUCUAAUAUAUUAAUAAUAGUAUUAUUUAAUUAGUAUUGAUCAAAUAUUAAUUUGGUGAUCAAAGUGAGACUAAUUAAAUAUAUAGGGUUGAUUAUGACAAUCAUCAAUUAUUUUAUGGUGGAUUAAUGAUCCAUGGUUUAUGGGUUAUGGAUGUAACCAUUUGGAGCUCCAUGGAUAGUCCAUGGGAGUUACAAACCCAUGGGCCAUGAGAAAUGAAGAGUCAUGACAAUUAUGGGUCUUCAUGAUGAAACCCUAAUUGUGACACCACUAUAAAAGGACCCUUUGGCUAGCAAAAUCGGACCUAGUGUUACUAGAGAGGGCAUAACCGAUUUUUAAGUGUAAGAAUUAUUCUCUCAAGUUAUUCCAAGUUUUGUGGUGUUGUGUGAAGCAUUUGAGGCACGACAUUUGGGGUGCUAGGCUCACAUAGUCUUGAAGGAAUCCAAGCAACAACAAGGUAUGUAUUUCUAGUAGUUUUUAUGUUUUAUGUAAUCCCCAUGUCAUGCUAGUUAGGAAAUAACCUUGAAAAAGAAUUUUGCAUGUAUAUAGAGAAAACAUAGAUUCAAGGUUAUUAGGGUUGCAUGUACACUUAGGAAGUGUUAGAAUGCUCAAAACCCAUCAAUACAUUGUAUAAAACCUGUAUAGCAUGUUUAUUCAAUAUAUAUUCCAAAUAACAUAUGAGGCACAUACACAUAACACGUAUUUCAUAGAGAAUAAAUCAUAUCUAUGAGUCAGAAGAAAGUGAAUAUAAAUUCACACAUAUAACACAGAUAUAUACAUAUAACACGUAUUUCAUAUCAAAUACUUCAUAAUUAUGCAUUAGAAGAAAGUAACUACACACUCACUUGAUCAGAAGAUGAUCGGGCAGCACUACGGCUCUAAGAGUAGUAUUCUUCGGUGAAACCGGGAUCACUUUACACAACGGGCUUCUCGCUAGCAGAGCUUCAGCUCGGAAACUAUUUUCUUCUCAGGAUCUUCGGGCUUCGUGACUCGCUUUGGGUCUCGGGAUGCUAUUGGGGCUUUGGGGGUACUUCUUUGCAUGUAAAUCGAGGUAAUAUGAGUGAGAGGAGAGAAUUUGAGCAACCAAACUCUGCUGGCCCUUCAAAUCUAUUUAUAGGGCAAAGUUUUCAUUUUCCACGUCGUGGGUUUGGUCGUCAUUGCAUGCUUCAUCGCAAGUUGGGUCUAGGAGACUCCAGGAGGCGUCAAAAGACUUUCCAUGUCGUGGCACUGUUUGCCACGUCGUGGUGGCUGACAGUUUUGGGGUUUCGCGCCCCGAACUUUAGAAAUUCAUAACUUUUGCAUACGAACUCCGUUUUCGACAUUCGUUAUAUCGACGCGUAGGUGAGAAUAUGCUCUACAACUCUCGUUUAGACUCCAUUGGCUAACUUUGGCUUUAUUUUUAAUAUAUUAUAAAUAUAUUACUUUUAUAUUAUUUUUAGUAGGCCGGGACAGGAAAACUCCAAUAGAAAUUCAUAACUUCUUCAUCCGACAUCCAUUUUUGUCUGUCUUUUUACUGUUGGACUACUAUCGAAGAGAUCUUAGGUUCUCAUUUAGAUUUUUUCAGCUAAAAAUCACUCGAUCUCAUAUUCGAGUAUCCGGGUUGCAUACCGCUAAGUCGAAACUUCGGAAAAUAACUUCCUCAUACGAAGUCAGAUUUGGGCAUUCUUUUUAUGCACGCUCUCGGUAUAACGAAAUCUUCAAAUUUCGUUUAGAUUGCUAAGGAUAUAUAUCGCUCUAUCUUAAAAUUCAUAUUUUACGUCAUUCGGCGUCGUGUCGGUUCUGUCGCGAAACUUUGACAGAUCAAAACUUCUUCGUUAUAACUCGGAUUUCGACGUUCUUUAUAUCUCCGGAAUCCUUGUUUCGACCACUACAACUUUAUGUAAAGAUAUUAGGUUUAUCUCACACUUCAUUUUGACGCUUAUUUUAUUCUUAAUUCAAUUAAUACACACAACUAAACACAAAACACAUAAUACUCAAAUAAUACACUUCUAUUAUUUCAAAACGGGUUACAAAGGUUAACCUAGACUAUUAUAUUAACAUUAAUGACAAGCCCAGAAACACAAGCGUUACACUUUCCACCUUCAAGAUAUAAUGGAAACAAAGGACUAUGUGGUCCUCCCCUUACCAAAAAAUGUCAUGGAGAUGAAGAAUCAGAAUCACCACCCAUCAUUGGUAAAAGUAAGGGUGAUGGGGAAGACACAGAUGAUGAACUCAUGAGAUUGUUUUAUGUUGGUGGGGGCAUGGGUUUUGCUACUGGAUUUUGGAUUACAUGUGGGGCUUUCCUUGUCAACCGUCGAGGGAGACAUGCAUUUUUUCAUCUUUUUGAUAGCUUCAAAGAUUGGGUUUAUGUGAAGGUGGUUGUGUUCGUUUCAAGUUUGCAAAAGGCUAGACAGAUGUAAUUUGUUAUCUAAUUCUUAUUUUUGACUUCUUAUUUCCCAGUAUAGAAUGUAAUAUGGUAGUGGUUUUUAAUCCCCCAAUAUCAAUAAAUUAAGACUACUUUUGGCGCAUUUUUGUGACUUGGUAGUCGGUAAUUAAGUGCGCUUUAUUUAUGUUUAAUUAAAAAUGAGCUUUCAAUUAGAUGGGUGGGCCAUUAGGUUUAACUAAUAAAGAACUCUUAAAAACCAAGACUGAUACGACGCACAAGGCACGACAUGAUUCAGUGACAAUAAAAAUAAUUAAAAAAUAUCAGGCAUUCAAUCAUCUUCUCCAAGUUGAUUGUCAACGAAUCGUUUUCUACUCUUCUUCAGCUAUACUUCUUCCAGUCACUAAACACCAAGGUAUGUUGCAUAGUUUCCUACUUUCAUUCUACCCCAAUUCUACUCUCCUAUCAGCUCUCUAGUCUCUAGUUUCAUGCAUAGUAAUGUAAGUAUGUAACAUUGUAAUGAAUCUUCUCUGCAUGCAUGUAAAUUGUAUAGAAAUUGUGUCUAUAAAUUGUAAUUUGGUUGACUGAUUGACUGUAUAUGCUACAUUAUGAUUGUAAUGUGUAAAUUUGUAUGUAAGAUGCAUGCUAGUACAUUGCUAAUUUGCUAGUUAAUACUUUUGCUGUUAAUGUUAUAAAUGAAAUAAUGAAUUAUGAAUCGGGUUUGUUACUUUGUAUACUCUCUGUAUAUUUCUCUCUUUCUUAAUUUAUAUGUGAUCAAAUAUAAUCAUUGUUUUAUACUUAUGUUGUAUUGUUGUCUUGCUGAUUUGUUGUUAAUUAAGUGUUUACCUGUAAAGUCAGAAGUGAAAACUGUUGCGAACUUAUGAUUAUGAUGUAAUGUUGUUAACUGUUUGACUGUUUCAGUGUUCUGUCAGUUGUCACUGUUAUGUACUUAUGUUAUAGUGUUAUUUUAUACAAGAUUACAAUUAGAUAUGUUUUGAUAUUUUGAUGUUUUCUAAAUUUUAAUUUCUAUUUUGUUAUACAUAAUGGUUUCGACUUUAGAUGACCUAGGUAGGAGAUAUGGUGCACAAGGUCCAAGUAAUAAAAACAAUUUUGUGUGCUCUUUUUGUGGACAAGUUCUGAAAGGAUGAGUAUAUCGCCUCAAACAACACUUGUUUGGCGGUCAUAAAGAUGCAAAUAAAUGUCCAAAUGUUCCUAUUAUUGUCCAGGUUCAGUAGGGUAGAGUUAGACCAAUUUCAGAGAUUUUGAAGAGGAUAAGGAGAAGAAAGUCGGAGAGAAUCUUGAAGUUGAAAUUAGGCAAGACAAUUGGUGGUGUUGAUGAUCCAGGAAAUUCUAAGGGAAGAACUCUUCUAAUUGAUUGGUGUUGAAUUUGUCUUUGUGUUAUUUGGAUUUAAUUUAUGUGUAUUAGGAUGAUGGUAAAUUUCAUUUGAGUUUAAUGUGUGUGUAUUUGGAUUGUUGUUUGAAUUUAAGGUAAUUGUCUUUGUUACGUACAUGUGAUGUGAAAAAGGUUAUGUUGGUCAUUUUUAUUCCAUGUUGUUGUUAUUGGUAAAUAGAAAAGGGUAAUUUGGUAAAGUUUAGAGUGAAUUUUAAAGUACAUUGUAUUUUGAAAGUAAAGUAAUGACAUAAAAGGGUAUUUUGGUCACUUAUGAAUAUAUAUUGCAUUUUGAAAGUAAAGUCAUGACAUAAAAGGGUAUUUUGGUUACUUAUGAAUGUAUAUUGCAUUUUGAAAGUAAAGUCAUGACAUAAAAGGGUAUUUUGUUCACUUAUGAAUGUAUAUUGCAUUUUUAUGGUAAAGUUGUGACAUAAAAGGGUAUUUUGGUCACUUAUGAAUGUAUAUUGCAUUUUGAAAGUAAAGUCAUGACAUAAAAGGGUAUUUUGGUCACUUAUGAAUGUAUAUUGUAUUUUGAAAGUAAAGUCAUGACAUAAAAGGGUAUUUUGGUCACUUAUGAAUGUAUAUUGCAUUUUGUAAGUAAACUCAUGACAUAAAAGGGUAUUUUGGUCACUUAUGAAUAUAUGUUGCCUUUUUAAGUAAAGUCAUUACAUGAAAGGGUAUUUUGGUCGCUUAUGAAAGUAUGUUGCCUUUUUAAGUAAAUUAAUGACAUGAAAGGAUAUUUUGGUCACUUAUGAAAGUAUGUUGCUUUUUAAGUAAACUCAUGACAUAUGGCUUUGUAUAUUUUUGCAUGGAAAAAUUUGGAAUAAUGUGCAUGCAUGUAAAUGUGUUAUAUGGUCCCAGAUAUGGUUCUACAAUGGGUUGAAAGGUCCCGUUGUUCCAUUAUAAAAACACCUUACUAACUAUUAACUAAAAAUGGUCCCCAUACAUAGUGUAUUUUCACAUGGACCACUUUCUACUUUAUUCUCAAUAUAAUAUCAUGCACAUCAACUAAUUUAGUUAUAUAUAAUAAAAGGAAAACAAGCCAUGCAUGUUUCAAUAACAUAAACAUCUCCAACAUCUUAUUAUAUAAAAUGCCCGACAAUUAGGACUUUCAAUCUGGCUUUACAAUAGUUAUAAAAUGCCCUUUCAUUAGGGAAUUACCAGUUUACAACAUCAACACACCAAGGUUGACACCCCCAAAUUCUAACUAAAAGUUGCUUCCAAACAUACAAAAUGCCAAUCAUUAUUGAGUUUUCUAGUCUGCCUUUACAAAAACAUACAAAAGCUUACAUUAACCACUCUAACUAACUACAAUCACUCCCUAACUUCAAAACAAAAAAAGACCAACCCAAAAAAUAACAUUGCAACUAUCAUCCUGUACCUGCCUAUUGUCUUCCUUGAAUCAGAAACAUCUUUCUCACUCUUUGCCACCUUACACUUCUCAUGUGACAAUAGGAACUCCACUUCAACAAUCAUUGUCUCCAAAUUGUUCAUCUCAGACAGAUCCUCUUUAGCAUCCAGUUUCUGCUUUAUAGAAUAUGAAAGGUUUUUGUAGUACCCUUGUUCAUGUUCAUUGUCUUUCCAAUCAAUUAAAAAAUGAAAAUGUUUUGAUUUAGAUAGUAAAUAAAGAUUAAGGAAAUCAGUUGCGUUUAAUGUACUAACGAAAUGAGUUUGAUUCACGAUCACAAAGAUUCCGCAAGAAGAAAAUAAAAUUACUUUUUUUUCCAAAUGCAAAACUAGCAUGAUAGGCUUUACACGAACAAUCAAACCCUAAAAUACAAAGGUAGCAUGAUUAGGAUUAUUGGGACCUACCAAACUGUUUUGACAAUUCCAGAAACUCGUCUAUUCUAUAUAUUUAUCUCCCACAUCGUCGCCACCGCCGUUGUCAUGUUCUUGGUUCUCCAUCAGAUAAAUGAUCGUCCAUCACACUCACAGGUACUCAGCGCAUUUGUUCUUCUAUUCUCUAUUUUCUGUUGAAUGUUGGGCUGAUUUUUCGGUUUAGAUUUUAUAUUCAACGUCAUUUUUUAAUUUUUAUAUACAGACCCAAAUAAGAUCAUUGCUAUUUUCAUAGGUAGAUUUGUAUUUGAUUUUGUUAUUGUGUUUUUUGGGAUUUAUAUCACAUUACUUAGGCCCAAAAAAUAUUUUGGAAAAGAUAUAGAUAAUAAAUACAAAUUUACAAGACUUGCUAUGUCUUUGAACGGCUAAUUUGGGUCGGUUUAUUUCAAUGCUUUGAUCUUUCAUGGAAAUUGCAUAUUGUAUGUCCCACCCCCACAAAAGCAGAGACCAAUUUGAACCACCCACUUAGAAUGAUUAUCUUCAUAGACCGAGAUUAUAUAAAUGGAAAAUGACUUAAAAGCCCAACGAAGUUUUCAAACCAUUCAAAAAACCCCAGUCAUGUUUUGGUUGUUCAGAAAAACCUAACGAACUUAACAUUUUGUCUAAAAAGUCCAACAAAGUUCCAAACCGUACAAAAAAUCCCAAUUUUGUUUUGUUUAAGUUCGUUGGGUUUUUUUUUGAACAGUUAAAACAUGAUUGGAGUUUUUUAAAUGUUUUGGAAACUUCGUUGGCCUAACAUGUCACUUUUCCGAUACGGUAAUAGGCCACGUCAUCUGUUUCUCGUAUUUGACUUUCAGGAAAGUGUAACUUCGUUGGGCUUUUUAGACAAAAUGUUAAGUUUGUUGGGUUUUUUUAAACAGACAAAACAUGAUUGGGGUUUUUUGAACGGUUUGAAAACUUCGUUGGGCUUUUAAGUCAUUUUCCCUUAUAUAAAUCCUCGGCUUUUAAGUCAUUUUCCCUUAUAUAAAUCCUCACUCAUGAGGGCAGUUCAUAUAUGUAUCAAUACAAACCAAAAUCGCCAAUAUCUUCAUCUACAAUAUGAAUCCUUGUGUUUUUAUAAUUUUCUCACUUCUGUUGCUAACUGCCAGCCAAUUGGAAGGAGAUGAUAGAAAUAUGAAAAAGUGUUUGGAUAAGGAGAGACGCGCUCUCCAUCUUUUCAAAGCUCCCCUUGAUUGCCCCUUUGGUUGUUUCUAUACAUGGACAGCUGAAAUUGAUUGCUGUGCAUAGGGUGGAGUCACAUGUGACAACCAAACAGGUCAUGUCAUAGGGCUUGAUGUCAGUGACUAUUCUCUUGAAGGUAAGUUAAGCCAUUCAUUUCUUAACUUAACCUACUUGAAUCAUCUUCAUCUUUCCAGAAAUUCUCUUCAUGGAACCAUUCCCAGGUCCAUUGGUUCCUUGACUAGAUUAAGCUACCUUAACAUCGGCUUCAAUAAUCUUAAUGGAACCAUUCCUAGGUCCAUUGGUUCCUUGACCAAAUUAAGUUACCUCGACCUUGGCUCCAAUAAUCUUAGUGGAACCUUUCCCACCUUCAUUGGUUCUUUGACUCGAUUAACCUACGUUGACCUUUUCUAUAACUCUCUUUAUGGAACCAUUCCUCAAGAGUUUGGAAACCUCACCAACUUGCAACAUCUUUCCCUUGGACCUGAUGGAGGAUGUAGAGUUGAAAACAUAGAGUGGGUGUCUCAUCUCUCUCAUUUGCAUUACCUCGCAUUGGAUGGGAUUUCCCUAGCCAAACAAAAUCACUGGGUAGAUGUUAUUCUGAGCCUCCCGAAACUCUCAUAUUUAUCUUUAGAUGGAUGUGAGCUAUCACAGAUCAUGUAUCCAUAUUCUUCAUUAAUUCUCAACUCUUCUUCCUCUAUUGUUGAACUUCGACUUGGAAACAACAAUCUGACCUCAUCCAUGUAUCGUUGGUUGCUCCCAUUUACCAGCAAUAGCCUUGUUCAUCUUGAUCUCUCUGGAAACAUGUUAGAUGGGAUACCCAAAUAUCUUGGUAACCUCUGUACUCUGGAAACUUUAUACUUCUCUUACAACUCUGCUGUUGUCAAAUUUUCUGAUUUUCUCAACAACCUGUCUGGAUGCACAUCCCUUUCAUUACAAUACUUGGUGGCUUCUUAUAGCCAAUUUACAGGGCCAUUGUCUGGUGACAUCCAAAACUUUUCAUCCUUAGCACGGUUGGACAUAUCUGAUAAUCACUUAAAUGGAAGUAUAAGUGAGAAACUGUGGGAACUACCCUGGCUCCAAACCCUUGACCUUUCUUUUAAUAAUCUUAGAGUUCCUUCCACAUAUCACUUGUCAAACAUCUCUUAUGUUAAAUAUCUUGAUCUGAGCUCUUGCAAGCUGCUAGGGCCUCGCUUCCCCAAAUGGAUUCACACAUUCAAAAAUCUUUACCAUCUUGAUCUUUCUAAUACUGGAAUUUCAGACACAAUUCCUUUGGAGUUUUGGGACGUGUGGCCUUAUCCUUUAACAUAUCUGAAUCUCUCUUCCAACAAUAUUAGUAGGAAAGUGCCAGAUUUAUUUUUAAUCUUUGACGCAUAUUCAGUGAUAGAUUUGAGUUCCAACAGCUUUUAUGGUCCAAUACCUAAAUUCUCUUUCGAAAUGGAAUCAAUAAAUCUUUCCAGAAACAAAUUCUCUGGAGGAAUCUCUUUCAUAUGCCAAGCUGUUUAUGGAUUCUUAUUAUUUCUUGACCUCUCUCAUAACUCAUUAAGUGGACAACUCCCAGACUGUUUGUGGAAUUUCGAUUCCCUAACAGUUCUUAAUCUGGGGCACAACAAUUUCUUUGGUAGGCUUCCUCCCUCUAUUGGAUCUAUGAUAGAACUCCAGGUGUUGUAUUUAUACGAUAACAACUUCUCUGGAGAAUUGCCUUUCUCUUUAAAAAAUUGCAAGAGUUUAAUCUCGUUGGAUUUGGGGGCCAACAAGUUUUCUGAUAACGUGCCUGUCUGGAUUGGGGAAAACUUAUCAGGGUUGAAUGUUCUUAUCCUAAGAUCAAACAAAUUCUUUGGAACCAUCCCUUUACAGUUAUGUCAGUUACCUAAUCUUCAAAUUCUAGACCUGUCAAUGAACAGUCUCCAUGGAACCAUCCCUUCAUGUUUGAGUAAUCUUACAAACAUGGUUCAACAAGGAGGAUUCUCACAAGAUGUAUUGUUUUAUGAAAGAAUAAGAGGUUAUGCAACUAGAGCGGGGAUAUAUGUCGACCAUGCACUGAUCGAGUGGCAAGGAGUUGAACGUGAAUUCUUUAGCACUCUGAAAUUGUUGAAGGCCAUUGACCUGUCAAGCAACAAUUUAACAGGACAAAUCCCAUAUCAAAUUACCAAUCUUUCUGACUUGGUUUCCCUGAAUCUGUCAAAGAACGCUCUAUCCGGAGAGAUCCCACAGAAAAUUGGUGAGAUGAAAAAGCUUUUGACUUUGGAUUUAUCCAGAAACAAUUUCUCAGGGCAGAUACCAUCAAGCAUGUCUCAGAUGAGUUUACUGAAUUACCUAGACUUGUCAUUUAAUAACUUGUCAGGGAGAAUCCCAACAAACACUCAGCUCCAGUCCUUUCAACCUUCAAGAUAUGUUGGAAACAAAGGACUAUGUGGACCUCCCCUUACCAAAAAGUGUCCUGGAGAUGAAGAACCAGUAGCAACAUCGGUGAUUGGUAAAAAUGAUGGUGAUGGGGAAGACACAGAUGAUGAACUUGAGAAAUGGUUUUAUAUUGGUGGGGGCAUGGGUUUUGCCACUGGAUUUUGGAUGGCAUGUGGGGCUUUACUUCUCAACCGCCGUGGGAGACAUGCAUUUUUUCAGUUUUAUGAUAGCUUCAAAGAUUGGGUUUAUGUGUUCAUUGCAAGCUUGAAGAUGGCUAGACAUACGUAGUUUGUUAUCUAAUUUCUAUUUUAACUUCUUAUUUCUCGGUAUAGAAUGUAAUUUGGCUGUGGUUUUUAAAUCCCGAAUAACAAUAAAGUUGCGACUAACACAUGGGUGGACACCAUGGGUGGCCAAUUUCCCCGUGUUGUUUGAAAAUUAUAUUUGUACAAAAACCGGUUUGGAAAACUAUUAUUUAGUAAUUAAUCAGCCUAGUGGCUUGGACGGGAAGACUUCUUGAAGUUUUUUGGUUUUUACAAUUGAUUCAAUAGAAAUUCAUCCUCUCUCAUUAUCCUCCACGUUUCCAUUUAUUGCCUAGUAUUCUUAUCAGUUAUACUCUGAACAAAGAAAAGUCAUUUUAGUUGGAACAAGGACAAAAAAACACAUUACAAAAACCUCAAAUAAGGACCAAAAUUAUUGCAGAAAACCUUUUGGGGCCAAAAUUAGAAAAUAUCAGGUAUAUUCAAGGACUGAAAAUGUAAAUAACUCUUUAACAUUUAUUAGAAAAUUAUUACUCUUAGUUUUGCCGACCCUUGUUAAAAUCAUGGUAUUUAGAUUGGUAAAUUUUUGUUUCUCCUGGUACCGUGACAUGGAUUUUCCUACGGUACCUAUAAAUUUUAUAUAAAGUAAAUAUUUUAAAUCUAAUUAAGAUGCUUUGUUAUUGAUAAACUUUUGUACUACCAUUGCAGCAUUGUCAAAAUUGUUCUUAACAUGUGAAUAUGCAAGACAUGGGUCUGUCACCUAACAAGUCAAAAAGUCAAAAAGUCAAAAGAUGGUUAGAAUGGCAAUAUUGUAAAUUGAUGAAAUGAGGACUAAUCAUUUUACUUGUUGUAAAUCCAAUGUCAUCAUAAUCCAAACCUAGUAGAAGACUUGGAUAUAGUCUUUGUUGAAUCUUUGUAUGUGAAAUCCAAAGAGACGAUCCCUUAAGCUAAGAAGAUAUGUAUAGUUAUUUUACAUUGGACAAGGAGCAAAUCACAUGACCAUUAUUUCAGUUUACUCCUAAAGAAAUUAUUAACAACCUUAAGCUUUUAGAUAAAAUGAUUUAGAAGGUCGUAAUACAUUUUUAUGAGCUAUAAAAGAUGUUACUUGGGCUUAACAAACUCUUUUAUAAAGUUUUUUAGAGCACAUCAAUGUAAGAGCGAAUUUCAGGAAUUAAGAGAAAUAAAAUAUAAUAAUAAAAAUCAAGACUGUGAAAUGGUAUUGCUACUCUUUAGUAGUAAUAAUAACAAUAACAAUAACAAUAACAAUAAUUUAUAUCAUAUAACAUCCGAAUCCAGGUAAUUUUUUUAAGUACUUGAUAUAAAUUAAAUUGGCAAAGAAGACCCUUAGUACGCUAGGCAUACGUGUAUGUAAGCUUAGCGUAUAUAGGCGCAUUGAUCAGGCAGCUGCGAGCAUGUACGUGGGGCGUACAUGGACAAAAAGCUGAAACCCUAAUUCUCGUUUUUGAGCCCUAUUUAAGCUCAUUUAUGACCUUUGGACCUCAUUCUUAACAGCCUCCACUGCAUUUAAAUGUCCCUAAAAACCCUAUUUGCCAUUAGAGGUGAUCUUUGAGCUUAAAGUCACAUUAAUAGCCGUUUUUGGUGUGUUUCCAAGAAGAAGUUGUGAGCAAGCCUUGGACGUGGUUGAGCUUCAAGAUCCUGAAUCUACAUCAUCUUGAGAAGCUUUUGGAGGUAAAAGUUCAUACCUUGUUGAUCCUUUUGCUAGUUUGAGUUAGGGUUUGGUUAUAAGUUCAUUUUUGGCCCAUGGAUCCUUUUUUGUGAGUUUGGGCAACUCCAGAGGUUAGAAAUGCUAAAUCUUAGUCCCUUUGGCAUGUUAGAAGCAUAAAAAUGCUAUCUUGAUGGUUGUUAUGGCACCAUGCAUGGGCUUAGGUCGUUAAAGUGAGUCUUAAUGGACAAAAUGGGAUGUUGGGCUCCCAUAAGGCAUGCAAAGGCAUAAAGUUGCUAACUUUAUGCCUUAGGACCCCUUAAAUGACCAAGACAUGGAAUUUGACGAAGUGGCUGGAUGUAAUAAGCACUUAAUGGCUAAAUAUGCUUAACAGCUUAGUAUGUUGGGCGUACUAAGAUGUAUGAUGCAUGUACUGCCUGAAGAUCAAGUACGCUAAGCGUACUGAGAAUGUACGUUGCGUGUACGCCCAGUGGGCUGUUGGACAUGUUUUGGACUUUUGGGCCUUAACUAGUUUUGGGCCUUGGCCUGUUUAUAAUAAGUGGGCUUAGUUUUCUGUUGUGGGCCUUGUGUGUCAUGGUUUGGGCCUUUUAUGCCAAGGGGCCCGUUAUUAUAGAUGGACCGAAUAUGGUUAGGUCCAUUAUGGGAUAGACGAAAUAGGCCAUAGUGUAACUUUCGAUAUUUUCUAAGGUAUUUAUUUAAUAUUGGUUAUUUAAUUAUUAAGAGUCAAGCCUUGGACGUUUUCAUUUGGGGCUUAGUGUGUGCAGUAUGCGGGGCGUACCACCCUGUGUACGUUGGGCAUACUAAUGUGGACUGAUUGCGAGUGCCAUUCACGUACACGCUGCGUACAAAGGAGUACGCGCAGCGUACGUGUCCAGAUCCCAAAACCCUAAUAUUUAGGGUUUGAGCACUAUUUAAAGAACAUUAUGCCCUACAGAUCUUCUUUAUCAGCCUCCCUUUUGUCCCUUAACAGCCUCUAUGAAACCCUAACCCCAUUGUUGAGUGUUCUUGAGCUUGGAAGGUCUUUUGAGUGCAUUUUGGUAUGUUUUGUCUCAUUUUCAAGGAAGAGAAGGUUGGAGUAAGGUGGUGGUUCAAGGAGAAGCUUGUAGAUCCGAAUUAUUUGCUCCGAUCCAUUUCUAGCUUGUGCAAUAUAUAAAGUAUUGAUCUUGAUCUUUAGAAGCUUAGAUCUCCAUGUUUUAGCUUUUGGUCCCAUAGAUGAGCUCUUGUGGAUUAUUUUCGUUUCUGAAGCUUAGAGUUGCUACUCUUGGUGUUCUUUGGGUCCUAGAGUCAUAAAGUUGCCACCUUUGAAGCUUUAAUCCAACCAUGCAUGAGUAAUGACCAUUUUUAUGGAAGUGGAAUGUUAUAUUUUGAGUUUGGGCCUAUUUGGGGCAUGUAAAGCCACCAAGUUGUCAACUUUAUGGGCUAAGAUGUAACACCCCAUUUAAUCAAUAAACAAAUAAACUAAUUAAUAGAUGUAAUUUCCGGACAGAAUUGUGAAGAAUUUUAACAGUUGAGGAGUGUUUAGUAAAUUACGGAGUUGAUUGAGAAGAAUCUUAGAAGCAAGGGUAUGUUUGGUAAUUAUUAGGACUUAUUAUGAAAGAGAAUUAUGGAAUCAAGGGAAAAAGGAUAAAUAUUGGAUUUAGUUUGUAAAGGAUUUUAAUGUCAAGUGCUAAAAGGGUAAAAUUAGGACCCACUUUGAAAGAAAAGGGGAGGGGAGGGGCCAAAGGUGGCAUUAUGGAAGAAAGAUUCAAGGGGUGUCGGGUAUAUAAUAUUACCCGCCACCCCUUUCUUCACAUCCGGUCGCCGCCAUCACCAUAGAAGCCCUGUUCCAGCCGCCGCCUCCAUUGUCGACGAUGACAAACUCGACUACCGCCACUCCAAGCAAUUGAGGUGCGAAACUGCAGCCUCCGUUUCUCCGACCUCCCUUCGCCAUCAUCUUCCCAACAGGCGUUAUAGUCGCCGCCACUCCAAGCAAUUGAGGUGUGAUGCUGCAGCCUCUCCGACUACCACGUGCCACCGCAAGGGUGGUGGUGUUUAGAUGUAUUUCCGGUGCGAACUAGCGUAUGUUGACGUUUUUCGGAGCAACAAACCAAAAGAAAGCAUCGCCACCACAGUGUGGUGGUGGCUGACGACGCAACCUGCCGCUUUUCCAGGGUUCUGUCACCGCCAUGUACGCCGCCAGGUGGUGGUUGUGUUGCUAUUUCGAGCAUAGUAGUGGGUGUGUAUUAUUUCAGUGAUGUAUGAUUGGGUUUGUUGGCCGGAUAUAUCAAGAAAGCAACCGCCACCAGUGUGAGAUGGUGGCUUCCACCACGAGCCACCGCCGGCCACCACUAGGGUGGUUGUGUCUGUGUGUGUUAGAGUAGUUAGUGCGUGUGUUUAUUUGUGGAUUAAAAGCUUGUAAUUGUAAUUAGCAAAUGAGUAAUGAAAAGAACCAUAACCACAACCGUAGGGUGGGCGCCGUGAGCCGCCAUUGACCACCACUACCCGAGGUGGUAGUGGGUGGUUCCCCACUAGCAAAACCCUAAUGUGCUUAAAGAUUAUUUGGGUGGAAACCCUAAUUUCACUUGGCCUUAUGUUGGGCCUUUCUGUUGGGCUUUGGUGUUUGAGCUUAUAAUGGGCCAUCCAAGAUCAAUCAUUGGACUGAAAUAUUUAGAUGGGCUUUAGGGUAAGGCCCAUAUGAGGGUGUAGGCCCAAUUUAGAAAAUUGGGCCAUAGAUGGGCCAUAGUUUGGGCCUUAAUGGUUAUAUGAUAUUGGGCCAUUAGAAAUAUCAAAUGUUGGGACUGGACUAAGUAGUUGGGCCUUUAAUUAUGACCAUGUAAAGGUUUGGGCCCAAUUUGGAAAAUUGGGCCAUAUGUUGGGCUUUGACUCAUAGUUGACUGUUAAGCCUUUGGAUUGGUCCUUGGGAUUGGAUCAAGCUAAGAUUGGGGUAAAGCAGUCUUUUACCCCAAGCAUGGACUUAUGAGUAUAUGUGAUGGAACCUUAUUAUUAAUUGGGUGUUAUUUUGAUGUUGACAGAUUCAGGAAUCUGUUAUCCAUCAGCUAGGGUUUUGUCAGCGGGACUUCAGCAGUGUGAGGUGAGUUUUCCUUCAGUAGGAACGGGUCUAAGGCACCAAUGUCGACUCGUUUAAGUAGUAGAGUAUGUCGGGGUUUAGCCCGAUGCAUUUUAUAUGUUUCCGAACUUCGGUCCGAUGUCAGGGCUGUCCCGAAAAGUAGUUAAGUAUGCGUGAUGUCUUUGUGAUUCAUGCAUGUUAUAUGAUAUGUGUUAAGUGUUCCGGGCUUCGGUCCGAUGUCGGGGCAAGCCCAAUGUAUGUUAGUUACAUGUUAUAUGUUAUGUGUUCCGGGGUAAGCCUGAUGUUGGGGCAAGCCCGAUGUAUGUUAGAUAUUAUACUAUGUAUUAUGUGUUCCGGGGCAAGCACGAUGCAGAUUAUGUGAUUAUGUUGUAUGUUAUAUGUUCCGGGCUUCGGUCCGAUGUCGGGCAAGCCCGAUGCAGAUUAUGUGAUUAUGUUAUGUGUUUAUGAUAUAUGUUAUGUUGUGUAUGUGUCGGGGUAAGCCCGACGCCGGGGUGAGCCCGAUGCCCGAUGCGGUCGAAUGCCGGGGUGAGCCCGAUGCCGGACAGGAGUCUGAUGCCGGGUAAGCCGAUGUCGGGAUUCGUCUCGAUGCAGCUGGGAGUAGUCCCAGAGUUAUGUUAUUUGUUAUAUGUGCUUGUAUGGUAUGUGGUGGUUUAGGGAGCUCACUAAGUUUCAUGUUUACAGUUUCAGUUUUGGUUUCAAGUACUUCAGCUAGCAAAGGAGAGGGCUCGAGUUGAUGGCAUGGCACACACCACAGUUUAUUAGCCUGGGAGCUUACUCUGAUAUUUUAUAUGAGACUGUUAUAUGUUGACAGAUUUUAUGAGAUUUUGAGAUACAUGAUUGAUGAUUUUAUUUUAUGGUGGCAAUAUUAUGUUUGUUAAAUGAUUUUAAAAACGAAAAUUUUGGCUUGUAUUUUUGGGAUGUUACAAGUUGGUAUCAGAGCCUUGGUUUGAAGGAUUCGGGCACACUUUCGGGCGUGUAUGAACUCAAACUAAGGAAUUGGUAUAGAAAUUUUCAAAAGGAAAAUCAAUUUUUGCAAAACAAAAUAGUUUUAGAAAAAGGGAAAAGAAUUUUUUUAGUAAGAAAAGAACUUUGAAAAGAGAAAAGGGUGUAGUGAAUGCAAUCAGUCGAGCUCAAGUGAGUACUCCCAAAUUACCCAUACAAGUUUAUGCUAUGUUUAUGAUUAUCAACUUUAUUUAUACAUCAUGCUAGAUUAGGACUAAGGAUCUAGGAAGGAUGCCUUAUGUUCCUAUUAUGUGUUUCAACUUUUUGAGAACUGCAUGCUAGUACAGAUUAGUCAGGAUGAUAGCCUGAGUAGUAUAUGCUUGAUUAUGUAUACUCAAUGUCCGAAUGCUGCUUGCUUUGUGCUUUUAGGAGUUCUAGUUGUCUUUCACUAACUAGUAAAAAAAAUGUUAAGUUACAUAUUGCAAGGACUAAAUAAUUUCCAGAAGGUUAGGUCUAGCUCUAUUUCGCAACUCUUGUUUGAGUCCAACCGUUGUAGGGUAGGAUCUCUCAUUCAAAGAAUUAUCUAGUCUGGGUAAUAUGUAAUAGUAUUUGCGAGUUAGUUAGGGGGAGGUAGUAGGACUUCUUAUGCAACUGAUGGCGGAGAGUGGGUUGGUGAUUACCCUAGGGAAAACCUAGGAAGAGUUUAGUAUGAGAUCAGCAGUAGUAGUAGAAGGGACUUGGUGGAGUCGAGGCAGUUCUUGAGAAAAGUACGGAUAUAUGUGGAUGGUAGUAUGGGCCCGUAGAAAGCAGAGCACCCGUACUCGAAUCAAGGAAGGCUGAGAUGAACCCAUGGACCUUGUAGUGUGUGAGAUCCCUCGAGUUAUGAUGAGUACUAUGAAGAUUGUGCUGGUAUGUUUUCGAGUAUAGUGACGUUACGUGAUAGACCAGAUGGCAGUUCUGGUGCCGACGAGGGAUCAUGCUCAGACUCUGGAGUUGGGCAGCUUGAUGGUCAUAUGAGGGAGUUUAUUCCAUCUGAGGGUACACGCAAUAUCAUUAACCAAACUCCUGUGAUCUUCAAUAUGAUCAAAAGAGGGUAUUUUAGAGAUUUGUGAUGAGAGGCUGAGUGCAUUCUACACAGAGAUAGCAACCAUGAUAGGGACGCGUGCGUUUGUGAUUUAGGAAGUUCAGAGCUUGUGAAGCUCUAGACUAUCAUGGGGCUAGGGACCCUAUUGCUAGCACCAGGUGAUUGGUAGAUAUCACCAAUAUUUUCGUACCGGCCAUAGUCUGGAAAGGAGACAAGGACCGACUUGCCUCCUGCCUCCUGAAGGACAGGUCAUGUGAUUGAUGGAAGAAGUUGGUAGAAGGUUGAGUGAUGAUGUGAUCGAUGCUAUGUCAUUGGAUGACUUUUAGAUCAUACUCUGGACAGAGCGUGUCCAGGCCAUUAAGGUGCAAUAGUUGCCGCGAGAGUUGUUAGAUCUCCACCAGACGACGGAGACUGUGGCAGAGAUCACUUCCAAGUCUCGGGAGACAGCUUAGUUCGAACCACAGUAGGUUAGAAGAGGAGGAAAUGAAGAAGGUAAGAUAUCAGGACAUACUGCAGAAUGAUAGCAGAGAGAUCGUGAGUUUCUCAGGGUGUGAGACCCUAAGUGAUAUGACUUCUAGAGCCCGAGAACGGUAAAUUGACUUGGAGCACAUUAGGAAGAGGGAACCAUAUCAGUUGCUUAUACUAAAGGGUCUCGGAAGGAGAACCAAGAUUUAGGAUUAGCUUUCGAGAGACCAGCAGGACCAGAUUCGGUGUAGCACUUGCGGGAAACUGCACAAGGGGGCCUUUCGUUCCAAGGGUUUGAGUAAGUGUGACUUUGGGUUAUCCUCUGUCUAUGUUUGAAUUAUACUUCCAAGAAAUGGCAUAUGCCAAUUGCAUACCGAGAAUUAUUAGCGGAUAGCAAAAGAUCAUUUCCCAAAUUGCAGGAUUGGGGGAGUACAACGUCAUCUUGGUUUAUUCCAAGACUGAGGAGCAGCACGAGGAGCACCUGAGGGAGGUGCUAGAGACUUUGAGGAGGGAGAGACUUUUUGCAUGGUACUCCAAAUGUGUGUACUGGUUGCGCGAGCUGCAAUUUCUUGGGCACCUUGUCAAUCAGGAGGGUAUUCUAGUUGAACCGGCCAAGAUAGAGGUCGUGAUGCAGUGGGAGAAUUUGAGGUCUCUAAUUGAGAUUCGGAGCUUCGUGGGUCUAGCGGGUUAUUACCAUAGAUUUAGUCGGGACUUUUCCAAGAUUGCAGUUCUUUUGACCCGACUGACCAAGAAGUCGGUGGCCUUUUGCUAGGGGCCUGAGCAACAUACAACUUUCGAGACUCCCAGACGGUUAAGUGUUUCAGGAAGUUUAGUGCUUCAGACAUUUUCAGUGUCUCAACCAGCAAUGGCAUUUUGGAUAAGUUUCGCAUCCUUGUCAGGAAGAAGACAGCCCAAGCGGCUGUAUGGUUUGAGGAUAGUGUGAGAUGGAAGUUCGGGAAAAAACUUGCCAAUAAGGAGAUCGCGUUCCCGUAAUAUUUACCAGCAAGCCUUAGGGAAUCAAGUUGGGGAUUCCAGUCAGGACAUGAGUUCAGUUGAGUGCGGGUCAAGCGCAUGUUCGAUCUAGUAUGGAAGGUGUUGUAAGUCUGUUGGUGUAGCCGUAGCAUUCACUAGCAGCCAGAUAGUGUUAGAGUGUUGUAAGUCUGCGGGUGUAGCUGUAGCAUUCACUAGCAGCCAUAUAGUAUUAGAGUGUUGUAAGUCUGUGGGUGUAGCUGUAGCAUUCACUAGCAGCCAGAUAGUGUUAAAGUGUUGUAAUUCUACGGGUGUAGCCGUAACAUUCACUAGCAGCCAGAUAGUGUUAGAGUGUUGUAAGUCUGCGGGUGUAGCCGUAGCAUUCACUAGGUUGGUAGAUAGCGUGAGUGCUUUGUUAGGACUCGGAAAUAACAGUAGUACCCACCAGUUCAGGUGUAGUAGUGAGGAUAUGGAAAUCCACGAUUUGGAUUUCGGAAUUACCAGAUGGUUUAGAUUUGGUUGAGCCGGUGAUAAGACUGUAGGAGCGCCACUAGACUUAUGGAAUCACGGAAGCAAUGGACCGAAUCAGAUUGCUUGUGAUAUCAAGCUACCAUUAGUCAGGUAGCAGUCAUUUUUAGCCUUGGAUUUGGAGGAUGCUAGCAUCCGACGUAUGGACUCGACCAGUUAGAUCAUAAACUUAUUAAAGCCUCAGUGGCGUGAUAACUAGUUCCAGAGGAGGAUUUCGUUUUGAAGUCGUGUGAGGCGACUAAGUGGGAGUCUUUUGACGCCGUAGCCAGGCUAGAACCCGGUAUUUCAGAUGAAUGAUGGAUGAAUUGAGACCGGGAAAGUCUCGAUAGAUUUUGGGAAAGCAGUCAUGUAGUAGCAUGUUGUUUCAGGCAGUUUCAGUGAUUGAGCAGUGUUAGUAUUUGUGUAGGUUGCAAGCACGGGCAAAAUAGCUGGUUGACUGGGAAGUGACAAGUCACUCACAGCGAGAUUUGUUGAGCCUUGGCCAAGUAUAAGUGAUCUGUAGGGAUAUUGGGCAUGUGAUCCUAUUUUAUGGUGGGAGACUUCGAGCUAUUAGAAAUUGAGCAGCCAGUUAAGAGAUAAGCAGGCUGGUUUCAUCGAUAAUGAUUCAGUAUGAGUGGUCUGUCAUGGAACCAGACCAUCUCAAGACAACAUAUUUCAGACAAAGUAGAUGUGGACUUGUUGCGAGGAAUUCGUUCACCAGUAGAAUUUAAGGCUUUGCAAAAAUUGGUCAUGGCUACCUUGAGAAGGCUAAGGUGUGCCCAGGAUUGUGGUCAGGUUCCUUGAGUGGGUUGGCAUGUAAGAAUGAUAACGGUUGAUUUCGAGGACGAAAUCUAAUUUAAGUGAGGGAGAGUUGUAACACCCCGUUUAAUCAAUAAACAAAUAAAUUAAUUAAUAAAUGUAAUUCCCGGACUGAAUUGUGAAGAAUUUUGAUAAUUGAUGGUUGUUUAGUAAAUUACGGAGUUGAUUGAGAAGAAUCUUAGAAGCAGGGGUAUGUUUGGUAAUUAUUAGGACUUAUUAUGAAAGAGAAUUAUGGAAUCAAGGGAAAAAGGAUAAAUAUUGGAUUUAAUUUGUAAAGGAUUUCAAUGUCAAGGGCUGAAAGGGUAAAAUUAGAACCCACUUUGAAAGAAAAAAGGAGGGAAGGGGCCAAAGGUGGCAUUAUGGAAGAAAGAUUCAAGGGGUGUCGGGUAUAUAAUAUUACCCUCAACCCUAACCCUAGGAGCAUAGCAGUCACAACCUCAUCUCCGAUUGGUGCCACCCCUUUCUUCACAUUCGGUCGCCGCCAUCACCAUAGAAGCCCUGUUCCAGCCGCCGCCUCCAUUGAUGACGAUGACAAACUCGACUGCCGCUGCUACUUUUGUGGUAUGAGGAAGCAACUCCCACCACUGGGUGCGAGCAUCCCAGUCGCCAUCACCAUUGUUGCGUUUUUCCGAUGGGUCGAGCCACCAAGCGUGGCAGCCUCUAUCCCCGUACGAGAGCAGUCAAUAGUGUGACUGUUGGGUCUACGUGCGUUGCCGUUUCUCCGACCUCCCUUCGCCAUCUUCUGCCCAGCAGGCGUUAUGAUCGCCGCCACUCCAAGCAGUUAAGGUGUGAUGAUGUUGUCGCUCCGACUACCAGGUGCCACCGCAAGGGUGGUGGUGUUUAGAUGUAUUUCCGGUUUGAACUAGCCUAUUUUGACGUUUUUUAAAGUAGCGAACCAAAAGAAAGCAUCGCCACCACAGUGUGGUGGUGGCUGACAACGCAACCUGCCGCUGCCGCCUUUCCAGGGUUCUGUCGCCGCCAUGUACGUGCCAGGUGGUGGUUGUGUUGCUAUUCCGAGCAUAAUAGUGGGUGUGUAUUAUUUCAGUGAUAUAUGAUUGGGUUUGUUGGCCGGAUGGAUCAAGAAAAGUGGUCGCGCGCUUCCAUUUCGCAUGCAUGGUCCUCCAUGCCAACUUUUUAAGGGACCAUUUAUGCCAAUAACUUCCAACUGUAGACGAGUUGGAGAGCCCCAACUCGACGAGUUGACGCUGCGAAAUGAAAACCCUAAUCUUCGGACAUUUCACCCUAUAUAAAGAACAUUAACUUCUAGGACUGGCCUCCUUGCCUAGAGAAAACCCUAGACUCGCCUUCCUCCUUGUUCAUUGAGUUUUGUUAGUGUUCGAGUGAUUGUUUGAAAUCUUUGAAUGAGGUUUUGAAGAGAGAAGUAUCAAGCUUGGAGGAGUGAACUUGGAUCCAGAAACUCUACAUCAAGGGCUACAUCUUUGAGGUAUAAAGUCAUAACCUUGACAUGUAGCUUAUUAGAUCUCAUCUUUUGAAUUUUAAGCAUGAUUUUGGGAUCUUGGGUUGAAUUGUCCAAAAGAAAAAGAUUCCAGGGGUUGUCAAGCUAGAUCUGACCCCUCCAUGGUAUCCUGAGGCUUAAAGUUGCAAACUUUAAUGGCCUCCAUGUCCCUUUCAUGCAAUAUGUUCAUUAGAAAGCCCAAUAUGGACCCUAGAGAGUGUUAAAAGUAUGCAUGGGCGUAAAGAUAGAAAAUUUACAAGAUUUCCCGCCUUUGGACAUCAGAUCUGUGUUUUGGGAUGUUGAGAUGAGAGUUUAAGGGCUUAAUGGGUCAAGACCUUCCUUAAAGGAACUAGGGUUUGGGUUUAGAGCCUAUUGGGUGAAUCUUGGGGUAAAGUUGGAAACUUUACCCUUCUAGACAUUUCUAGGAAUGGAGAUCUGAAGUUUGGAACCAUUGGAUUCGAGAAAAAGGGCUUAAUGCAUUAAGUGAGUUGACAGACUGAAGAACUCGACGAGUUCACAAGGGAACUCGGCGAGUUGGGUUAGGUUUACCUCGAUUUUGUUGGAAAACGGAGGAACUCGACGAGUUAUAGGAGAACUCGAUGAGUUGGAUCGCAAUAUCGUGAUUCUGGCUUUGGGAUGGACUCGACGAGUUACAGAGGUUACUAGACGAGUUAGGUCAACUCGGAGUGUUGACUUUGACCUUGACCAGGGUUGACUUCUAAGGGGUUUGAAGGGUUGAGUUUUAUCUAAGGAAUUGUUUAUGAUUAGGGAGGUGGCAGAGCUGACACUCGGAGUUUGGACCUACUUAGUUACAGUUUGCAUUUGAGGUGAGUCUCUUCACCAUACCAAUGGGUCGAAGGCACUAAGGUCGGCCCAUUAUGUGUUAUGUGGUAUGCUAGUUGGUUAUGUGGUAGGUAGUAUGCUAGUUGUCUUGGUGAUACUUGCAUGGAAGACCUCGGGGGGGGGNNNNNNNNNNNNNNNNNNNNNNNNNNNNNNNGGGGGGGUUCCCAAGGCAAUUGGAUAUAAGACCAUGUAGGGGUUCCCAUGACAUUCCAGGCUAAGACCAUGUGGGGGUUCCCAUGACAAUUCCAGGCUAAGACCAUGUGGGGGUUCCCAUGGCAGUUAGUUAAGACCAUGUGGGGGUUCCCAUGGCAGUGGGCUAAAACCAUGUGGAGGUUCCCAUGACACCCGGUAUAAGACCUUGGAGGGUUUCCAGGCAUCCUUAUAUGUUUGUAUGCAUGGCUUGUAUGGUUGAUAUGGUUUAUGUGAUUAUGUGAAUUGUGUGGGGUAUGUUAUGGGGAACGCACUAAGCAUUACCUUACAGUUUGUUGGUUGUUUCAGGUACUUCAGGAUCUAAGGACAAGAGCCUAGCGUGAUGGCGCGGCAUGCACUCUCUGGCGUUUUAUUGGGGACACUCUGAUAUUUUGAAUAAUUUAUCUGAUGUUAUGGAUAUUGAAAACAAAUGUGAUUGGAAUUUUAUGUUUUAUGAAGAUGAUUCCAUUAUUUAAAUGAAAAUUUUUAUUGGAAAUUUUAGGCUGUUACAAGGCCAACAUACCCAGGUGGGCUAGCGGUGUGAUGUAGGCUAGUGGUGGAUCAACAGAAAGUUGAGAGGGAGCAGUCCAUGUGCACUAUAGGCCUUGCGAGGCGGGCUAAUCCAACUGUAGACUCGAGGGAAAUCCAGUCUUAUGUUUUGGGCCCGAUAUGCAUGUAUUGUAUGUAUAUUGUGAUGUGUGGUAUUUUGGGGGAACUCGCUAAACUUUGGCUUACAGUUGUGGAUUUAAUGUGUUUCAGGUACCAAUAGUGAUCAUAGGAAGGUGAAGGCAUGAUUGUACACAUUCAUUAGCAACCGUGGAUAUUUUGUGUCUACUAUAAUAUUCUGAUUUUGGCAAAUGUAUCUUGGAACAAAUGGUCUUUUUUAAAAGGGAUUUUAUAAAUGUGAAGUUUUACCUUUGAGGUCUAGUUCAACUGGAAGGAGACACGCCUCACUUUUCCCCUCCCAAGGGUUUCUGGGGGAAUGAUGUCGAGUUCUAUCCGUGUCCAAAACAGUGAAACCCCUUAAUAGGAAACUAGUUUGCUAAGGAUGAUGUUGUUAUCUCUCCAGAGAGCGAUUGAACCAAGGUUCGUUGGGUGUUACGGCAUAUUGUCCUAUCGGAUGUCAUUGCCCGCUACACGGAACCACCCUUCAAUAUAUAUAUAUAUAUAUAUAUAUAUAUAUAUAUAUAUACACACACACACACACACACACAGAGAGAGAGAGAGAGAGAGAGAGAGAGAGAGANUAUAUAUAUGAAAAUUUUAUUGUGAAAAAUAAGACAUUACAAACUUACAGUAUAUAUGGUUUUCAUUAAGAGGAAAAAGCACCAUUAUACCAUCAUGUGAGAGACAUUUUCCUGGGUAAAAUUUAAAUCUAACGGAAAUGGAUGGAAGGACUAUCAGUGUAAGUAAUUACACCCUUUAUAUUAAAAUGAUGAGAAAAAACAAAUUGAACUUGGAGUGCAAUUGUGGAACAAACAUAGGGAAUUUUAUACAAUGGGAUAGUACUUUUAAAAAAUAUUUACCAUAUUUUGGAAUUUAAUUACCAAAAGAUAGUAUGUACAUUUGAUUUUUAUGAUUAUCUUUAUUCUCAGCAGCACCCAUUCAAACCACAUCACAAAAACACUCCAAGCUCUUGCUCAUCCAUUUCCGACGACUGCAUAAUCUCAUGCCACCUUCAUCUCCCUCCUAAGAACCUUCCAUUUUAAGGGAAAUUUUUUCCUUUUCCAGCCAAUCCAAUAUAAUCCAUAAAGUACCGGUGACAUUACUUGAGAGCCAUAUAUGGAUUAAUCUUGAAAAUUAGUAUGUACAUUUGAUUUAAUAUAAGCUUCAUAACCUUUUACACCCAGAUGAACAGAAGGAAUGCAUGUAAAAUUCCGUUGUUGGCACCAGAAAUCGUGUUUCAUGGACUCAUGGAUGAAGAUUAUAAUGUCUAGUAAAUCAUAUCGACUCUUUAAAACCUAAAAAUAAUACAAUUCCAGGUGAGACUAACUUCAGAAAACAAAGAUAUUGAAUUGGAUUCCGUUAAACAUUGAAUCCAACAAAUGAUUGUCAAUGGAAUAACAUUACCAAUAGAUCUCUGAUACUCCUACCAGGAAGUUCUAGGUUAAAUCAGAGUUUUAAGGGAUUUGAAUGUACAAAAGCAUCAAGGAAUGGUACUGAGCAACUUGUUGUAGGGGAGGUCGAUAUGCAAAAGGCUUUCAUUACACGCGACGGAAUAUCAAAUAGGAAUUCAGAUCUUCAGAGGAGAUAUCGAGAAAUUAAAUUGGUGAUCGUGAAUGUGAGUAAAGAAUUAUAAGCAAACAUCAUGCAGAUACAUAAACUGUAUAGUUGUAAUUUUCAAAGUAAACCAAUGAAUUCUAGAGUUCAGGUGAAGUCGCAAAGAAUUGAAGAUUAUAAUAGAUGCAUAUGGAGAAGGAAGCAAAUGAGUGGAAAAGAUGCUGCAAUAACCGGUGAGGGAGGGAGAAAUCGCUGGGCGAGGAAGAAGACACGUGUGAGGCCAGGCGGGUUGCUUUUUUUUUCUUAUUUUAAUAAAUUUCAAAGCACCAUUAAUUUGGUAAAUACUUUUUAAAAAUACAAUCUUUUGUAAAAAACUCCAAACAUAGGGGACUAAUGUAAUUUAAUGAUGAUACCUUGUAAAUCGCCCAACAUUCCCAGUUUCCCUCUGUUCUUGAAGACUUUGAAUACGUGGAUCCGACUCCGUUUCCUCAGUUUUAAAUACUAUCUAGUUAACUAUGCUUGACAUACUUGUACCAGGUGAAGUAAAAGUCGUACUCUACUAUCAUGUUUUCAAAUUGCAAAAAUCAAACCAUAAUACGUAAAUUGACCCUACAUUACAGCUUUUGGACGAAUCUAACAGAGUACCUUCAGUUUUGUUAUAACUGGUUAUAGUGAAAAUAAAUAUUAAAAAUUUGUUUUGGUAAUACAUAUUCAAAUUUAAUUAUAACAAAACUAAUGUAAUUCUGACUGAAAUUUUAUUUCACCAGGAUUUAUGCAGUUAACGUCUCUUUUUGUAAAACAGACGUUUUUUUUAACAUAAGGUGAAACGUGGAAGCUAUUGAUUAAUAUCUUAAAAACAUCCAAAAGCUACUAAAAAUCGAAGGCAUUGAUACUUUAAGAAACCCGCUGAACAGUAGAAUGGGGUGAUACGGAGGACCUCUAUAAAUGGUCAUUUUGGUUUGUGAAGUAUUUAUAUUUAAAAAUGCAAAAGUCGAAAUUGAAAUGAAUGUAUAAUACGAAGGACUAUUAAUGUAAAUUUUAUUAAAUAGUAACGAUUUGUGAAUAACAACACUCUAAAUUAUCUCAGCGCAUUUGUUCUUAUGUUCUCUAUUAUCUGUUUGUGUCUCUGUUUUUAUUGAGAUUUUAUAUUUAAUGUCACUUUUUAUUUUUUAUAUAAAGACCCAAAGUAAUAUCAUUACUAUUUUCGUAAGUAGAAGAAGUAGAUUUGUAUUUGAUUUCAUUAGUCUGAUUUUUGGCAUUUAUAUCACAUGGCCCAAAAAAGUAUCACGAGAUGGGAAAAGAUAUAGAUAGUAAGACUUGCAAGUCUUUCAACGUCUAAUUUGGGGCAAUGUUUCUUCUUUCAUGGAAAUGGAAAUUUCAUACUGUAUGAUAUGCCCCAUACAAGCAGACCACCAAUUUGAGUCACUCACUUGGAAGCCUUCAUGUUCACACUUCACAGGGAGACUAUAUAAACCCUAGCCUCAUGAAUCUAAAAAUCAUCAGUUAAGUAUUUAAUUUACAUUAUGAAUCCUUGUGUUUUUAUAAUGUUCUCGAUUCUCUUGCUGACUACAACUACCAGCCAAUUAGUACCGGUGGGAGGAGAUGAUAUUGGAGGUGUUGAUAUGAAAAAGUGUUUGGAUAAGGAGAGAGAUGCCCUCCUUCUUUUCAAAGCUCCCCUUCAAGACCCUGAUGGUCGUCUCUCUUCAUGGACAGCUGAGGAACAUGACUGCUGUAAAUGGAGUGGAAUCACCUGCAACAACCAAACAGGUCAUGUCACAGAGCUUGAUAUGGGCUUCUAUGGUCUUGGAGGUGAGAUAAGCCAUUCAUUGCUUAACUUAACCUACUUGAAUCAUCUUCAUCUUUCAGGAAAUUCUUUCAAUGGAACCAUUCCCACCUUCAUUGGUUCUAUGACUGAAUUGAGGUACCUUGACCUUUCCUUUAACUCUCUUUAUGGAACCAUUCCUCCAGAGUUUGGAAACCUCACCAACUUGCAAGACCUUGAUCUUGAUUCUGUUGGAAGGUGUAGAGUUGAAAACAUAGAGUGGUUGUCUCAUCUCUCUCAUUUGGAGUGGCUAAGAAUGGAUGGGAUUUCCCUAGCCAAACAAAAUCACUGGGUAGAUGUAAUUCUGAGUCUCCCAAAACUAACACAUUUAUCUUUAGGUGGAUGUGAGCUGUCACAGGUCGUGUAUCCAUAUUCUUCUUCAUUUCUCAACUCUUCUUCUUCUUCUUCUUCAUCUAUUGAGUUCCUUCAUCUCGGAAACAACAGUCUGACCUCAUCCAUGUAUCGCUGGUUGUUCCCCUUAACCAGCAAUAACCUUAGGACUCUUGAUCUCCUUGGCAACAGGUUAGAUGGGAUACCCAGAUACCUUGGUAACCUCUGUAGUCUGGAAAGUUUGGACUUCUCUUACAACUCGGCUGCUGUCAAAUUUCCUGAUUUUCUCAACAACUUGUCUGGAUGCACAUCCCUUUCAUUACAAAAGUU
rnacentral:lncRNA from 1 species